CUAAAUUCGUGUUUGUUUUCUUGAAGGUUUUUGCCAACGAAGACAAACAGGGAGAUGAAGAUGAAACACAGAGACAUAAAAGAGUCGCUUAGGGAAAUGAUAAAGAGAAGGGAGAAGGCAAUUAAAGCAGGGGAAGAGAGCAAUGAGGACUUGUUGGACAUACUUGUGGAAUCCAAUAUCAGAGAAAUGGAAGCAAAGAAUAUGGGGAUGAGCAUUGAGGAUGUGAUUGAGGAAUGCAAGCUGUUUUACUUUGCUGGCCAAGAGACCACUUCGGUCUUACUGGUGUGGACUAUGGUUUUAUUAGCAAGGUAUCCCGAUUGGCAAAGUAAAGCAAGAGAGGAGGUUUUGCAUGUUUUGGGUGACAAUAAACCUGAUGCUGAUGGCCUUAAUCGUCUCAAAGUUGUAAGUCCCUAGCAUGUCUUUUGAAGGUCCGAUCAAUGAGGUCGACAACUCAAAAACUUUGUUUCUUUUUUCGCUAAUUCUACAGGUAACGAUGAUAUUGUACGAGGUUCUAAGGCUGUACCCACCGGUGGUUGAGCUAGGACGUUCCGUUCCAAAAGAAAUAAAACUGGGGAAUUUGUUGUUACCAGUAGGAACAGAAGUUUCGGUUCCGAUCCUGCAGAUCCACCAUGACAAAGAUCUUUGGGGUAACGACGCACGGGAAUUUAAGCCAGAGCGGUUCGCGGAAGGGGUUUCCAAAGCAACAAAGAGUCAAGUCACGUUUCUGCCAUUCGGAUGGGGUCCUAGGAUCUGUAUUGGCCAAAAUUUUGCUUUGAUGGAAGCCAAAAUGGCGAUGGCUAUGAUUCUCCAACGCUUCUGGUUCGAGCUUUCCCCUUCCUAUGCUCACUCUCCUUACAGCAGGGGAACUCUUCGUCCACAGCAUGGUGCACAGAUAAUUUUACAUAAACUUGGCUGUAAUUGAAUUGUUAUGUAAACAAAUCUUUGUGAAAACAUAGCGUUUUAGUGUAUCGUCAAAGUCCGGUGUCUGUAAUGGUACAAAUUCGAUGCAUGAAUAGUAAAUUUUGAGAUGUUUGGUGAAGUCCGAAAUAAUAUGCAGAAAUUGAGCGUCUAUGGUGGACAUAGUUGAGGGACUAAUGUGGUAAUUAUCAAUCAAAUAAUUCGGUACAAAGACUUGUAUGGAAAUUAAAGCAGGGGGAGUUGAAAAUGACUACUCUGCUUUGGGCAUCAAUUUAGAAAGAUUUAAAGUACAACUGUGUUAUCAGUUAAGGGAUUUGUUUUAAAGAGGGAAUGACAAUUAAACCUCAUGGUUUAUUUGUGCAAGGGAACCGAUGAUGGGAUGAUUAUUCUUAGUGGUAAAAAAAACCAUUAUGGAGGUUAUUACACUUGUUAUCAUCAGCUUAAAAUUCGAAUGGGUUCAAGUCGGAUUAUAUCGAGCUUGUAAGAUGAGUUCACGGACCAAGUUUGCAUAAUAAAAUACCUAAAUGAAAAAAAAUUCUAUUUUAGAGGGACGAGAGCCCCUAUCAACUCCCGGCUCAGCCACUAAACAAUACCUAUAUCAUAUAAAUAAAUACCACCAUCUAAAAGACUCAAAGAAAAACACUCAACAAAGGAUAAAUAGAUAGAUGUUGGAUAAGUGUCCAAAAUAUGAUUUAAGUGAAGAUACAUGUGGUAGGUGUUACGGAAAUGUGAAGACAAGAAUCCCACUAACGUAUGGGAUGUGUGCAGUUGAAUGUAGGGAGCAAAAAGAGGAGUGAAUCAUUUUGGUAACAUUUGGACAAGAAACAUAAUGAACAAAAUGGAAGGAGAGGAAGCUAGUAAAAGAAUUUUUUUGGGUCAUAUAAUUUGUUCAUUUUGGAGUUGAAUUAUAAUUUUUUUAUAUAUUAUUUUAAAAUUUUAAGGAGUUAAAACAAAAUUAUUUUAUUUUCAGAUGGUCAAAGUAGAGGUGAUAAUGGGUUGGGCUAUUCGGCCCGGCCUGACGAUUCACUCGAAAAAUAGGAGGGUUUAGGUAAAAAUAUAGGCUCGAAAUAGGGAUUUGAGCAAAAAAAGAGUCCCGUUUAGAAAAUGGGCCAGGCCUCGGGUAAAAUUUUUUGGGCCCAAGCCUGACCUGAAUUAUAUAUUAAAUAUAUUUUUUAAUUUUUAAUCAAAUAUACUUUUUUUUAUUAAUUUGGUUAUUAUUUUAGUUCUAAUUUGUUUCAAUUUUAAUAUAACCACUUUUUAUUAUAUUUUCAAUUUGUGUAUUGUUUUAAGAAUUGUUUUAGUCUCAUUUUUUUAUUUAUUUUUUGUUUUAAUAAUUGUUUUAAAAAUUUUUAUUUAAUGAAAUAAGCUAAAAAAAUUAAUAUGGGCUUGGCCAGGCCAGGCUCGGGCCUAGUAAUUUUCUUUUGGGCCGGACUUAGAUAAAAUUUUAAGCCCAUAUUUUAAAUUGGGUCCUAACCUAAAAAAUGAACCUAAAAUUUUAUAUGGGCCCGACUUGGCCCUUGAUUACCUUUAGGUCAGAGCUAUCCUCGUUUUGCAUUUCUUUGAGAUUCAGCCUUAUCUACUGUGAUUGCCCACUCAAUUGAGGGUUGAGUAGAAAGAUUUGGUGAAGCAAGCUAAGCUAUCAAUCAAGGUUUGCAUAAUUAUUUAAAUGUAAUUCUAAUAUUAAAAUAAUUUUUUUAUUAAUAUAGUAUCAACAAGCAUUAAAUGUAAUGAUCAUAUACUAUUACAUUUUAAAGAAGAGAAAACAUGUUUGAACUUUAAAAACCACGUUACUAAAAACAUUAUCACAAACCUUGAAAUAUAAAAAAUAAUUUUUUUAAUAUAAUAAAAAAUUAAUUUUAAACCCGAGCUGAAUAAAAUUCUAAUUUUAGUUAAUGAUACGAACAACAAAUCAAUAUUCUAAGCCCGAGCCCUGCUCAUUUUUUUAAUAAACACCAAAAAUUUAUUUUGAAAAUAAAAAAUAAAAAAAAUAUUUUAAAAAUAUUUUAAAAAUAAAAAAAAUUAAAAAUAAAUAUUUAUUAUAUAUUCAGGCCGGGCCGGGCUAGCCUUGGGCUAAAAAAAUGGUGCCCGAGGCCCGGCCCAUUUUCUAAAUAGGCCUCAUUUUUUGUCCAAACCCAUAUUUUGGGCCUAUAUUUUUACCCGAACCUCUCAUAUUUUGGGCGGACCGUCGGGCCGGACCGGGCCGCCCGGCCAUGAACACCUCUAGGGCAAAGUCACUCAAUGAAUGCAUGGAAAGAAAUAUUGCAACUUGGUGACAGCUUUUGUUGGAGUUAUAUGCUUUUUUUUACAUAGUGGAACUUUCGGUGGAUUUUCAAGUUUCAUGAACUUUAUACCCUAGGCUUUACGUGAAAAAAAUCAUUGGACUUAAAAGUCUACCAAAAGUUUCACUAUAAUAAAUAAAUAAAUAAAUAACAUUGCUACAAGACUACAACAUAAAGUUACAAUAAGAGCUUAUAACUCAACAAAGGCUAUCAAUAAAUAAUCUCAAGCAAGCUAAAGAGAAAUGUUGAGAGUACCACUCAAAUAGUGAUUGACUUUAAAAAUUGAAAACCCGAAGUUAUUGUUGACACCAUUUUUUGGAUGAAAAUGUGUCGACUUGGGUUUUGAAAAUGAAAACGAAAACGAGAGUCGCCACCAAUCCUUUUUGAUAAGGUGUGACUGGGUCACCUUGAAAAGUGGUUGUUUUUAAUAAACGAUUUGAUUUUAUUAAAACAACAGUUUUGGUCCACGAAAUUCAGAAAAAUGAGUUCGGGAGUCGGUUACGCACGAGGAAGGAUUAGCACCCUCGAUACGCCCAAAAUUGGUACCUAGUUGAUUACUUAAUGUCUUAAUGUCGAAAAUUGAAAACUUUGGAGAAUUUUAAACAUACGAUCCUUGUAUUAAAACGUUAAAAAUUUUCAAGAAAAUGGGAUAUUUCACGUUAUUCGAUAAAGAGAAUCAUAUCCUAGUAAGUUAGGACACAAUAUCUCGAAUUUCCGAUAUCAUUUAAAACUUGAGUUUGAAAAGAUUCGUGUAAUAAAGUUUAAAAUAAUAUUCAAUUGUUUAAAUCAAAUGAAGAAAUCGCAACCCAAUACGUUAGGGCACAAUUUCUCAAAAUAUUAAACAUUGAAUAUUGCAUUUAUUUCGAAAAAUCCUCAUCUCGAGAAAACGUGUCACAUCCAAUGCAUUAGAAUACAACGUAUUGAAUUCUCGAUAACGAGCUUUUUCUCAUUUUUUAAAAGAGUAAUCUCGAUUAUUUAGGUUCAACGAAGAAAAUCAAAACCCAAUACGUUAGGGCUCGAUUUUCUCAAAGAUUCCAAAUACCGAGUAUUACUUAUAUUUUUAAAAUUUCUUUUUUGAAAUCCGAGUAAAAAUGAAUGCAAAAUAAUAAAUGAUGACAAUGUAAAUAAAAUGAUACAAGCAAAACAAUAAACAAUAAAAAUAAUCAUACGGGCAAGGUAACAAAUAAUUAGGAACUAAAGAAAGAGAACAAACAAUAAUAAACAUGCAAAUAAAUGAACAAAAUUAACAACAUGAUGCAAAUAUGAAAGAUAUAUAAGCACAUAUAUAUACAUAAAAUAAUGAGAAUAUGAAAAAAUGUGUGUAAUUGGACAUGUUUCGGAAUUAUUAUACAUUUAAAAAUCAUGUAAAUGUGUGUACAUACAUAUAUACAUAUAUAAUAAUCAUUAAAUAUAUAAAAAUACAUAUGUGUAGGUAUAUAUGAGUCAUAAAAUGUAAAGAAUAUAUACAAGAUAUAUUUUGAACGUAUAAAGUAUAUGUAAAUGUAUAUAUAUAAUAAAGGUGUAUGAAAGCAUAUUUUAUAUACGUGUAUUUAUAAAAUGUAUAUAAAUGUAUAUUGAUUUACCAAUACAUAUGGAUUUAUAAUUAUAGAAUAUAUAUAAAAUAUUUACAUAUAUACGUUUAUGCAUAUAUAAAAGUAAGUUAUUAUAAAAUAUGAGCAAGCAGAAUACAUAAAUAUAUAUACAUAAAAUAAAAAUGAAGAUGAAAAUAAUAUAAAACUACUUAAUAUAUUAAUAUAAUAGUAACAAAUUAAAAAAACAGAAAAUAAAGCUAAUAAUAAUUAAUAAUAGUAGUAAUAAUUAUAGCAGCAAUGAUAAUGAUAAUAAUAAUAACACUAAAAAAAUUAAUUAAAUAAUAAAAUUGCUAAAAAGGGAUUAAAUCGAAAUAAAAACAUAAAUACUGGGCGAUUUUGAAAUAAAAAACGGGAAGGACCGAAUUGCAACGCGCGUUGAAAAGGAAAGGGCCAAAACUGCAAAUAAACCACAGCCCCAAAACGCAGCGUUGAAAUGGACCAAGUCGAAAUAAAAAUAAAAUUGCAGGGGCUAAAUUAAAAAUAAGAGAAAAUAACGAAAAAUGAUCAAAUUGUAAUACGCUGCAAAAUCAGGGGGACUGCACGCGCAAAUAGCCCAAAAACUGAAAACACGCGGAUCCUCCGGGUCGGGUCGGGUCGGGUCAGGUCGACGUGCGGAUCCCCUUUGCUAAAACGGCGUCGUUUCAUGUUUAAUAUAAAUACUAAAAAAAGCUAAAAAAAACAGUUUCAUCUUUUUUUAAAAAAAACAGAGAGAAAACUCUCUCUUUUUCCCUCAGGUCCGGCCAUGGUCCGGCUUGGGAUUUCCGACGAGUCUCCGCCGCAAAGCCACCGUGUGUGGCGGCCGGAGGUUCAAAAUCAGACCUUUUUGGUCCUUUUUUAAAGUCCAUGGCCUCCAAGCCACAGAUCCGGGGCUGAAUCUCCUGAAUCGAAAGCCGAAGACCCAAAAAAUGGGGUGAAAUCCUUCGCCUUCCUCCCCCUUCCGGCGCUGCGCAGGUAAGGUUUUUUUUAACUCCUUUUUUACUAUCUUUAUUUAUAUAUAUACAUGAAGAGAAAAGAGAGCAAAAUAAAUAAAUAAAUAAAAACUUCAAAACUGAAGAGAAAAAGACCUUGAAUCUGCCUUAUUUAUUUUCUUUCGGUUGAAUCUGUUUUUGUUUGUUACAAAAGUUUCCAGGGAAGAGAAAAAAAAAGAGAGUUACAUGCUUGGCUUUUAUAGCCGAUAUUAAUUUCUAUUUUUUGUUUUCUUUUUCCUUUCUUUUCUUUGGCUGUUGCGUGUUUGCUUCCUUAUUGCAGGGUGAUUGACGGGAGUGGUUGGCGACAGAGUCGGUGGCCACUUGCACUGAUGAAGCAGCGGUGGCGGCGCUAGGGUAGGCUAGGGACGGCGGCAGUACUAGGGUUUCAGAAAACUGAAACCCUAGUUUGACAAAUUGGUUUCGGGCCUGUUGGGCUUUAAAUUAUGGGCUUUGUAAUUGGGUUUUGGGUUUAGGUGAUUUGGGUUUAGGUGGUAUGGGCCCGGGUCAAAUUUUGGGUAAUGGGAUUGGGGCAAAAUUGGGUUGUACAGUUAUAAUAUCCCAAACGAAAUCAAACUAUAAACAUUAAAUUUUUCGAGUCUUCUAGAUACUGUAAAAAAUUCAGCUCCAACGGACACCAAAUGAACCUAUGAUCGAAGAAAAUACGAAGACUAGUCUGGCUAAAUCAAUCUGCCAAACUUACUUUUUAUCUUAUCUUUAAUUUGCUGUGAAAUUCAAAACUACGUGUAAUACUCAAUUUAUGCUCGACCCAUUUUGUUAAAACAAAUAAAAAAGAAAAGAAAAACAAAAUAUUUAAAUUUAGCCCAAAUGUCCAUUUACACAGCCCAAUUACAAUUGCAAAUAAAAAAAACUAAAACUAAACCCGAUCCUAAGCAUCAGCCCAAAUUCGACCCAUGCCCAAAACGAAUUCAGAUGCAGAAACCCUAGCCCAGCCUUAAUGCAAGCAAAAGUCGAAAGCCCUAAUAGUUGGUGCGCCGCUCCUGUAACAGCCCGAUUUUGGGCCUAGUCGGAACAGUGGUUUUGGGACCACAAAUCCGACGAGAAAAAAAUGUAAUGGCCCGAAUUUUCAGAGGUGUCAGAACGGUGAUUCGAGAUCACUAAAUUCGACAAAUGGGUAGAAAAUAUUAUUAAUUUAGUAAGUAUAAGUUAAAUGUGAAGUUAGGAAAAUUUUUGAAAUGGUGAAUAGUACACUAGAAAUAAAUAUUAAAAUAAUUAGAAUCGAAAAUGAGGUAUCGAGACCUCGGGGAUUUUAAACCGAGCCAUAAAUAUUUUUAUAAAUAUUUAUGUAGUCUUAAAAAGUUAGUAUUAAAGUUUCGUUAAGAAAUUUUAAAGUUCCGAUAAUUAAUUGAACAAAAAGGACUAAAUUGUAACAAAUACAAAAUUAUGAGAAAUGAUUAAAUAGUUUAAAUGAUAAAAGGAAGAGGGCUUAAAAGGUAAAUAGACCCAAGGUCUAUUUGGGCUGCACGGCAAAGGCAUGAAAUCAGCAACAAAGUAAGGAGAAUUAAGGGCAAAAUUGGAAUAUUGCAAAAUUUACUUAAUAAAGUUAGGACCAAAGUGGAAUUAUCUAGAUUUCUCUUUAUUUUUCUGCAUUAUCAUCAGCAUAAACACCAUAGAAGGGUUUUCUUAAGCUGGUUCUUCCUAUUUUUACUGCAGGUAAGUUCAAUUCUUGAUUAUUUCUUGAAAAUUUUGUGUUUUUGUGACUUUUACAACUAGGCCCACUUAUUGUAUUCAUUAGUUUUUGAUUCUAUGAAAGAAGUUGAAAGUUGCUAUGAAUACAUGCUGGAAGUAUAUGAUGAUUUAGCAUGGAAUUAGAGCUUUAAAUUGUUCAUAUGCUGAUUUAUUGAAAGAAUUGAAUAGAAAGUGAAUGUUUGGGACCUAAUAGUAAAAGAGUUUGAAGAUAGAGUUAUAUGUGGAAAUUCUGAAUUUCAAUAGUUGUGAAACAACUUAUAAUGUCUAGGUUAAGUAUUAAUUGAGAAAAUUAAAUUAAUUGAGGGGUUAAUUGAGAAAGGACCGAAUUGUAUAAACUGUGAAAUUUGGGGCAAAAAGGAAAUCAACAUUUUACACUAAAGCAGUUUUGGACAGCAGCAGUAGUAUAACUUUGAAAAAUCACCAAAAAUUUUGAGAAUUGAAUUAGAGGGUGAAUAAAAUAUAAAAUUAAAGCUCCUUGAAUCUAGUUUCUCAUAGAAGAAACGGUGUAAGCAAUGGAAUUGUAAAUCAUGAGAUAUAAUAAAUUUUGUGAGACAAUGUCAUAAUGAUUUCGGGUUCCCCUAUUCUGACUUUGGAAAAUCAUCAAAAAAUUAAGAAAAAUAUGAGUUAUAAUUUAUAUGAUUACAAUCCUUAAUGAGUCUAUUUUCAAAGAAAAUAAACGGAAAUAUCAUCCAAAUUCUGUACAAUUAUAUAAUUCAUUUUUAGUGAAGAGUGGUCGAAACUGUCAGACAGCGAAAUAGGGGGAACUUUAAAGAAUAAACUGUACUAUUUGGCUGAACCAAAAAUUCUGAAAAUUUUAUGGUAAGAAGGUAUGUGAGUCUAGUUUUAAGGAAAAUUAACGGAUCUUAAUUUAGAGCUCUGUAGCUCUAGAUAAAAAUAAUUUAGUGACUCUGACUCAGAUAAAUAGCUUUGAAUGUACAUGUGAGUGAAUAGUGAAAUUAUAGCUAGUGUUGUUUAAGUGUGUUAUACACAUUAAGGAUAUGGAAUGGAGAGGAGGAGGAGGAGGAAAAAUUGGGAAAUAUAUGAAUGAUUUGUGUAUAAUUGGUCAUAUGCUUAAUUAUAAUUGAUAAACGAUGAAAUAGAAAUGAUGCAUAUAUUUGUGCAGUAUUGGUCAUGGUUUAAGCUCAUGUGGGAAAAUAAAGUUUAUAGUACGUGUGUAUUAUAUUUUUGGUAUAUGAUUUGGCAUUAAGUAAUGUCGUGAAUGGAUAUUGAAUUAACACAUGUUGGAAAGUUUGAUAUAUGAAUAAAUAUUGUGAUCAUGAAAGAGUGUUACAGCUCCUGCCUUCAGCACGCGUCGAGCCUCCGCGCCAAAUCCACGUGAGCCUCCGUACACUCCAACUAGCCUCCGUACCUGCAACAAACAAAAGUAGACAAAACAACAGCAAAGGAUAGGAAGAAAAGGCAGUAAAUAGUGAAGAUUUUUCUGUAAUUUUCUUUGGAUUUCAUUAUGUAUUUUCGGCUAUAAAAGAGCCAUUAGGAAUAUUUGUAAAGGGUUUUUUUUUUACCCUCACACACAAAGAGAAUAUACACGCAUACAAGAUCAAUAUAGAGAAAGAAAUAAAAAUAAAUAAAUACAAAGAAUAGAAAAUCAAGUUUCGAAGGUGAUUCUUUGAAAAAUCCUUUUCGUUUUUCUCAUUUUUCCUUUUUCCUGGAUCUUUUGUUCAUUUCAAGUAAAAAAAGUAUAGAAAGGAAACAAGUUUAGAGGAAGGAGGUUUACCUGGACGCCGGACCUCGCUCGCCUCGUCGAAAUCGAAGGCUGAGAGGGGAUAAAUCGGUUUUGCGGCAGAAGGAAAGGGGGGCUAGGGUUCUUGUUUUAACUUUUUUAAAAAAAAUAGAAAAGGUUGCUAAUUAGGUUUUAAUGGGGGAUUUAUGUGUGUUAAAAAAACGACGUCGUUUAGCGACCUUUGACCCGUGCGGUGACCCGACCCGAGGAAAGGAUCUGCGCGUUUUGGGUCUGAUGGGUUUAUUGCGCAACAAGCCCUUCCGCAUUUGUUUUUCGUUUCAAUUCGGUUUUUAUUUGUUUUUUAAUUGUUUUCUCAUAUUUAGUUCCAAUUUCAAUUGGGUCCAUGAUUAAACGACAUCGUUUUCAUUGAUUGGGUUUGAAGGCCUGGUUUUGUGCGUCUAAAUUGCAGCAAUGGUCCCCCUGAUGUGCAAUAGUUCUCGAUUUAGUCGUCUCCACACUUAUUUCAAAGUCGUCCUUGAGAUUUUGUUUUAUUUUUGAAAUUGUCCUUGUCUUCUUUUAAUUUAUAAUGAUAUUAUUAUUAUUGUUGUUGUUAUUAUUACUAUUAAUAUGGGUAUUGUUAUCAUGUUAGUUUAUAUCUAUUUAUUUACUUUUAUUUUAUUAUGUAUUAUUAUAUAAUGCUUUUAUCAUGUAUCAUUUUAUAUAUUUUCUAUGUUAAUCUAAUAUGAUAUAUAUAUAUAUAUGUAUUUUUGUGAUCUUAUUUUAUAAUACUUUUUUAACCCAUUUAUAUGCCUUUAUGUUUUAAAGAUUUAUAAUAUUUUGUGCAAAACUAUUAUAUAUAUAUAUAGAUAUACAAUUUAUAUUAGACCAUUUUUAUCGUACAUAUACGUAUAUAUAAUUUAUAUUUUGAAACUCUAUUUUAUUAUAUUUUAUGCCUCUAUAUACAUCAUUAUAUGUUUAUUAUUCUUUAUAUUAAACCUGCCAUUUCACUUAUAUAUUUUUAAAACCAAUGUGUAUUAUUCUUUCUUCUUUGUUAUUUUUUAUCUCUUAAAAUAGAUUGAUAAUUCAUUUAAUUUUUGAAUGUUGUAUGACCGAGAUUAUCGUUGCCAUUCUUGUCCAAAUUUAUCCAUUGCUUGUUCAUAUUAUUUGAUAAUUUAUCGCUCACUAGCAUGUAUCGUAAUUUACGAAUUAUCAUUUUGAAUUAUGUACUACCAUUCAAUCGCAUUACAUUUGUUUGGAAAACAUCGAAAUCGUUUUGCACAUAAACCUUCAAAAUGCUUGGUAUCCAAAAUUCUCGAGAGGAUUGUGCCCUAAUUUAUUGGGCUUCAAUUCCCCUUUUUGAUUUUAAAUAACCGAAUACCCCUUUUUCAAUUUGAACAUAGAAAUUCCAAAAUAAAAAAAAACUCAUUCUCGGGAAUUUGAUGCGUUGUGUCCUAACGUAUUGUAUAUGACAUAUUUUUCUCGAGACGAGGAUUUUUCUAACAAAUAAAAAUAAAGGCAAUAUUCGAUAUUUAGGAAUUUUGUGAAAUCGAACCCUAACUUACUGGGUUUUGAUUUUUUCAUUUGACCCAAGUAGGAUAUCCUUCACAAAUGCACAGAUUUUAAAAAAUCAAAAGAUAAACUUAAUUUCGAGGAUUUAAAAUGUUACACUCUGACUUACUGAGUGUGUCAAUUUAUUUCUUUGAAAUAAGUGAGUCUUAUCAUCCAAUUUAUUUUAUUCAAAUUUUCUUUUCCAAGGAUCGUAUUUUAAAAUUUUUUCAAAAUUUCGACAUUAAGACAUUAAGCAAUCAAUUCAGUACCAAUUUUGGGCGUCACGAGGGUGCUAACUCUUCCUCGUGCGUAAUCGACUCCCGAACCAGUUUUCUCAAAAUUCACAGACCUAAAAUUAUUUUCAAGGUGAUCCGAUCACACCACAAUAAAAGAUCAGUGGUGACUCCCAUUCCUAUUUUUAAAAGUCGAUUCCUGUUUUUCAUAUAUAAAAAAAUGGUUUCGACACUACGGUUUUGUUUGUUUCCCUUAGAACAACUUUCAAAAAGUUAAUUUUGAAAAAUGGAUUGAAUUUUCAAAAUAGAUGAUAUUUUUUUGUGUUAAAAUUUUAUUCGUUGUUUGAAAAAAAAAUUUAAAUCAUUUUCUUAGAAUUAUUUUUAGUGAAACAAAUAUAUCAUAAAUAUAUUUGUUAUAAAAUAUUAUAUUAAUAUUUUCUUUUAACAAUUAAAAUAUAUUUUGUGAUAAGGUAAUAUUUUAUAAUAAUUAAUAUCAUAUAUACUUAAUAAUAAAUCAUGUCUAAUUAAAAUUUAAUUUCAAUUAAAUAUAUUAAUAAAGCUACAUUUAAUCAUAUUUUAUAUAAUUAAAAUAUUAAUAUAAAUAUUUUUCAAUAAUAUAUUAAAGAAUAUUUAAAAUUUAAAUUUAUUAUUACUAAGAUUAAUUAUUAAAACAAAAAUGUAAUAUUAAAUAAUUUAUCCAAUGAUAAGUUAUAUUAAUAAUUUAUUAUAUUAUUAAAUAUAAAUAAUUAAAUAUGUAUGUUUAAUAAUAUUAUGUUAUAAUAUUUAUUACUAAUAUUUUAAUAUUUUUAAACAACCAUGUUUUAAAGAUGGUGGUGAUGGUGAUGGUGCAGGCCCCCUUGUUAAAAUUACAAUAUUUUUAAGUGGGAUGCAUGUAAUAUAUUGUUAGGGUUUUAGAGUAUGUGGUCUUUAAAAGGGUUAAAUUAUAUAUUUAUAUAAUAUGAUUAUUGUUUAUAAACAUAAUAUUGUAGAUAAGUUUAUAUGUAUGUCAAUAUGUAUCCUACUCUAAGGUUAAUAUGUAUUUUUUAGAUGUGGGUUUACCUAUAUAAUAGUAUGAAUCCAUCAUGUGGUCUCAUGAAAUAUACAAACACAUAUCGUGCGAACACAAAGUACGAACAAUAAAAAAUACAAAUCAAGACCCAAUUGAAUAAUUGAAUAACGGAUAGGUAAUAAUGAAUAUCAUAACAUUUACUAUCCCCUCUUUUCUAGUGAGUUAUUGUUUAUGAUAAAUUUGCAACAAAUGUUUUUAUCAUUAUUUUGUUGGUAAAUGAUAAUAAGAUUAAACAUUACUUUCUUAAGCUCCUUCAAUUCUUUGGACGUUAGCGAGUAAACUUGAGCUUCAGCAUUCCACAAACACCUUAAUUUGAAGACACAGUUCUCUCAUACUAAAAACGACAUGGACGUUUACCUUGUAAUUAGAGAUUUGGGCUCAUUGUUGGGUUAUUAAUGAUACGGGGAUGGAGAGCUUUAAACUGGGUAUGGUUGGCCCCAAAGAGGCUCGAAACGUGCUUGAGACUAGAGGUGAUCAAGGGCCGGGUUAGGCCCAGUCUAGAAAAAAAAUUAGGCCCAUUUUUUAGAUUUGAACUCGGCUCGGCUCAAAAUAUAAGCUUAAAAAUUUGUCUAAGUUCAGUCCGAAAGAAAAUUGUUAAGCCCAAGCUCGACCCAUAUUAAAUUUUACAACACCAAAAAAGUAUAUUUAAAUAAAAAUAAAAUAUAUAUAUUUAAUAUAUAAUUCGGGCCGAGCUGAACUCGGGCCAAAAAAGUUUUACUCGGGGCUGGUCCGUUUUCUAAACAGACUUCGUUUUUUUUGCCAAAAUCCAUAUUUUUACCCGAAUCUUCCUAUUUUUUGGGGUGUGCCGUCGGGCCGAACUGGGUAACCGAACCAAUGAUCACCUCUGUAAUCACUGAAUUUUGUCCGGGAAUAACUUUCGUUAAAAAAAUUUUAAAAUUAAAAAAAAAUUAACUUUUUUGCUUUUUGACCCCUAAACUUUUCUAAAAUUUCAUUUUAACCCCUAAACUUUCUCAAAAUUACAGUUCAACCCCUAAACUUUUCUAAAUUACAUUUUGACCCCUAAAAUUUCUUAAAAUUACAUUUGGACCCUUACACUUUCUCAAAAUUACGUUUCGGCCCCAAAAUUUUUGCUACAUUUACAAAUUGGUCCUUCUGUCAGAAAAUCCCCAAUAAUCCGGCGGAUUUCGUGCACCUGCCCCACUAUUUCCGGCAGCCGGCCUAGGGCAUGGCCUUCCCCACCUGCUACCUGCAAACAAGAAGCAAAAUCAACUAUAAAAAGGAGUUUAAACUCCAAAAAUCGGACCCCCACCCACGAAAAAAAUAAAAAAAAAAAACUUGAAAGAAAAAGAAAAAAGCUUUGAGAAAGAAAAAGAAAAGGAAAAGAAGAGAGGGGAGAAGGAGAGGCCGACCAUCGGCGAGCCACCGGAGGAGGCGACGGCAGCAGCGGCAUCGACGGCGGCGUAGAAGACCGAACGGAGAAGAAGAAGAAGAAGAAAAAAAAAGAAAGAAGAGAAAGAAAGAAGGAAGAAGAAGAAGAAAGAAACAAAAAAAAAAGAAAAUAUUUUGUAAUAGUCGGCCCGGCCCGACUCGACCUGCACGACCCGUGACCCGACCCGACAGCACCAGCAACCUAGCAGGCCACGGUAGCAGCCCGGCGGCCCAAAGAGUAGCCCAAAAAGAAAAAAAGAAGAAGAACAAAGCAAAAAAAAAAAGCAGGCCAUUUUCAGCAGGCCCAGUGCAGCCCAGCAGACCCAGCGAACCCAGCAGGCCAGGCCCACACGCAAGCAGCCCAACAGAAAAAAAGGGAAAGAAAAAGAAAAGAAAAAAGAAAAAAGAAAAAAGAAGAAGAAGGGGUUCAAUUUGUAUUAUCCGUUCGGCGAAGCUCGUGUUUUGAGGAUUUUUUUUCGGUAAUUUUAUUUUUUAAUUUUAAUUUAAUGCUCGUAUUUUUUUUAAAUAUUAUUAGUAUUUUAUGCAUUUUUAUAUUUUGGCAUUUAUAUUUUUAAUUUAAUUUACUUCAAUUUUUAUUUUAUUUUAUUUUAAAUAAUUUUAAUAAAUGAGGCAACGAAUCGAUUUAACAUAAAAUCGUUGAUUUCAUUGCUAUGUUGGGUGAAUAUCAUCGGUUUGUGUUAAACACGAUACACCCUUUUUAAAAAAAAGAAAAAAAUCGAAAAAAUUCUAAAAUUCUCAUUUUUUUAAAAUUCUCGUGUUUUAAUAGAAUCACGAUUAAAUAUUAAGUUGAAUCGAUUUGGCACUAAUUCGAUGAUUUCAUCUCCAUGUAGGGAUGAAUAUCAUUUAUUCGUGUUAAAUAUGGUACUUCUGAAAAAAAAUCGGGUUUCAAAAAUUUUCGUGUUUUCAAAAAUUCUCAUGUUUCAAAAAUCUUCGUGUUUUAAAAAUUCCAGUGUUUCAAAAAUUUUCGUGUUUUCAAAAAAAAAUUUCUCGUGUUUUUAAAAAUUCCCGUAUAUCGAAAUUUUCUUGUUUUCAAAAAAAAAAUUCCAUGUUUCAUAAAUUUCCGUGUUUUCAAAAAAAAAUUCUUGUUUUUCAAAAAUUUUCGUUUUUAAAAAAUUUGACCGUGUUUCAUAAAUUUUCGUAUUUCAAAAAAACCUCGUGUUUCAAAAUUUUCGGGUUUUUUUAAAAACAAUUCGUGUUUCUAAAAUUCUCGUAUUUUAAAAAAAAUCGUGUUUUCAAAAAAAGAAAAAGUUGUUGUGCUUUAAAAUUAUCGUGUUUCAAUCGGAUCACGAUUAAUAUUAAAUUGAACUCGUAUUUUUGAAAAUGAAAACAACGCGCGUUUAACGAGAUACCAAUUUUGGGCGUCGCGAGGGUGCUAAUACCUUCCUCGCGCGUAACCGACUCCCGAACCUUAAUUUUCUCUGAAUUUUUACGUGGACCUAAAAUUACCUCUUUUUAGAAAAGUUUAAAAAUGAAUUUUUCUUCUAAAAAGAGAAUUUUGUAGGUGUCCGAUCACACCUAAAAAAAGAUCGGUGGCGACUCCUUUUUUUCAAAUAAAAUCGAGAUUCAGUUUUCAAGUUUUUAAUAAUUACUUCGACAAGCGCCCGUGCGCAAAAUUUUUAAGUCGCUACAGCCUCUACUUGAGACAACAGGGUUUUGCAGGGAAUUCUUACAGGUUCGUUUCUGGCGACAAAAAAGAGCUCUUCACUAUAAGCAUACAAACAAGAGCCAAAACUAUGCCUCUUAGUGAUGAUAUUAGGCCUUAUGUUAUUCCUUUUCAACAUCAAACCGUCAACCGGUAUGGUAUGUUUUUUUUAUUUAAUCUGCAAUUUGUGAUAAUUCUUUGUUAUUUAUGUAUGGAAUUUAUUGGGAGGAAAUGCUGGAAAGAAUUCAUUUACGAGAAUUGGUCCAAGAUCAAGGGUGAACAUUACGGACCCUGAAAAAUAAGAGAAAUACUUAACAAAUUUAAUGACUUCCAGAAGAUACGUACCAAUCCACUGCUUAAUUUGCUUGUAAGCGGCCUUGUUAACCUCGAAGGAGACCGAUGGAGCAAGCAUAGAAAAAUCAUAACCCUUGCAUUUCAUCAAGAUAAGUUGAAGGUAUAGAAUAGUAAUGGGUACUCAAGACUUUAAAGAAAACAUCAUACUUAAGCCUAUGCUUUUCUGAUUUAGAAAUAAUUGGAUGCAGAAUAUGUUGCCAGCAUUUUAUCAAAGUUGUAGUGACAUGUUUAAGCAAAUGGGAGAAGAUGGUGUGUACAGAAGGAUACAUUGAGUUAGAUGUGUCGCCUUAUCUCGUAGAUUUGACAAGAGAUGUUAUUUCCCGAUCUGCUUUUGGAAGCAGCUUCGAAGAAGGCAAACGAAUUUUCCAAUUACUAGAGGACCAACUCGUUCUCACAAUCAAAUUAAUACAAACUGUUUACAUUCCAGGAUGGAGGUAACCGUCUACUUUAAUUUACUUGAAAAAGGUUGCAAAUGUUGGAAUUGGCUAAAUUCGUGUUUGUUUUCUUGAAGGUUUUUGCCCACAAAGACAAACAGGGAGGUGAAGAUGAAACACAAAGACAUAAAAGAGUCGCUCAGGGAAAUGAUAAAAAGAAGAAAGCAGGCAAUUAAAGCAGGGGAAGAGAGUAAUGAGGACUUGUUGGACAUACUUGUGGAAUCCAAUAUCAGAGAAAUGGAAGCAAAGAAUAUGGGGAUGAGCAUUGAGGAUGUGAUUGAGGAAUGCAAGCUGUUUUACUUAGCUGGCCAGGAGACCACUUCGGUCUUACUGGUGUGGACUAUGGUUUUAUUAGCAAGGUAUCCCGAUUGGCAAAGUAAAGCAAGAGAGGAGGUUUUGCAUGUUUUGGGUGACAGUAAACCUGAUGCUGAUGGCCUUAAUCGUCUCAAAGUUGUAAGUCCCUAGCAUGUCUCUUGAAGGCCCGAUCUCUGAGGUCGACAACUCAAAAACUUGGUUCUUUGUUUCGCUAAUUCUACAGUUAACAAUGAUAUUGUACGAGGUUCUAAGGCUGUACCCACCAGUGAUUGAGCUAGGACGUUCCGUUCCAAAAGAAAUAAAACUGGGAAAUUUGUUGUUACCAGCAGGAACAGACGUUUCGGUUCCAAUCCUGCAGAUCCACCAUGACAAAGAUCUUUGGGGCGACGCCGCACGGGAAUUUAAGCCACAGCGGUUCACGGAAGGGGUUUCCUAAGCAACAAAGAGUCAAGUCACGUUUCUGCCAUUCGGAUGGGGUCCUAGGAUCUGCAUUGGCCAAAACUUUGCCAUGAUGGAAGCUAAAAUGGCGAUGGCUAUGAUUCUCCAACGCUUCUGGUUUGAGCUUUCCCCUUCCUAUGCUUACUCUCCUUACAACAUGGCAACUCUUCGUCCACAGCAUGGUGCACAGAUAAUUUUACAUAAACUUGGCUGUAAUUGAAUUGUUAUGUAAGCAAAUCUUUGUGAAAAUAUAGUGUUUUAGUGUAUCGUCAACGUCUGUCUGUAAUGGUACAAUUCCGAUGCAUGAAUAGUAAAUUUUGAGAUGUUUGGUGAAGUCCGAAAUAAUAUGCAGAAAUUGAGUGUCUAUGGUGGACAUAGUUGAGGGACUAAUGUGGUAAUUAUCAAUCAAAUAAUUCGGUACAAAGACUUAUAUGGAAAUUAAAGCAGGGGGAGUUGAAAAUGACUACUCUGCUUUGGGCAUCAAUUUAGAAAGAUUUAAAGUACAAAUGUGUUAUUAGUUAAGGGAUUUGUUUUAAAGAGGGAAUGACAAUUAAACCUCAUGGUUGAUUUGUGGAAGGGAACCAAUGAUGGGAUGAUUACUCUUAGUGGUGAAAAAAAAACUAUUAAGGUGGUUAUUAUAGUUGUUAUCACCAGCCUAAAAUUUGAAUAGGUUCAGGUCGGAUUAUAUUGAGCUUGCAAGAUUAGUUCACGGACCAAACUUGCAUGAUAAUAGGUAUUCACAACAAGAUAUCUAUAGUUUCCAACAAAGUCACAUGUGAGAUCGUGCAUUAGAACCGCAUAAACAUGUUUUAUGUUUAGAAUAUGAUAUGUGUCUAUGUGUAUAGAAUCUACCUAAUAUAUCAUAUUAAUGAAUAGUAUCAAUUGCGGAGCCAAAAAAUUAUUUGUGAGGGGUCAGAAUUAAAUUGUAUAUUUUUACAAAAAUAAAAAUUAAAUUUCACUAUUUUAAUAGUUUAUUUAUUUUUAAUUUUUAAAUGAUUAAAUUAAAUUUUAUAAAUUUUUAGGAUCAAAGUAUAAUUUUAUCAUUACUAAUUUAAAAUUUUAUAAAUUAUAAAAAGUUUAUAUGAAAAGUUUUCUAUUUUAGGGUGGCCAAAGCCCCUGUCAACUUCUGACUCGAUCACUUGCGGUUAGUUGGGUAAAGACUCAAGAAAAAUAGCGGUGUGUUUGGAUGGACGGUGCGUUUACUUGCGGUUAGUGUAAAAAUAGCGGUGGCGGUGAGAUUAGAUACUAUAGCAACACUGUAGCGUGAGACAAAAAGUAAGUUAAACGCACUGCACUGCACUUAAUCGUCUAUCUAAACUCACCAUAAGUGUCUAAAAUAUGAUUUAAGUGAAGAUACGUGGGGUAGGUGUCAUGGAAAUGUAAAAAAAAAAAAGAAUCCUACUAAUGUAUGGGAUGUGUACAAUUGAAUGCAGGAGUGAAUCAUUUGGGUAACAUUUGGACAAGAAACAUAAUGAACAAAAUGAAAGGAGAGGAAGCUAGUAAUAAAAGAUUCUUUUGGGUUAUAUAAUUUGUUUGGCAUAUAUUUUUAUAAUAUUUAAAUAUCAUUUUGGAGUUGUUGAAUUAUAAUUUAUUUUUAUGUUUUAAAACAUAAUUAUUCUAUUUUUAGAGGUCAGAGUAGAGGUGAGCAUGAGUCGGGCUACUCGGCUCGGGCUGAAGGCUUGCGCAAAAUGUGAGAGAUUUGGGUAAAAAUAUAGGCCCGAAAAAUGAGUUUAGACAAAAAAAAAUAUAAGGCCCGUUGAAAAAACAGGCUAGGCCUUGGGUAAGGCAUUUUGGCCCCAGACCCGGCCCAACCCAAAUUCACUAAGGGCACGUUUGGUUCGCUGUAUUGGAAUAGAGGCGUAAUGUAAUAGAGGCGUAAUGGAAUAGAGACGUAAUAGCAAAUCAAUUGUUUGGUUGAAUGUAAUGGAAUAGAGGCGUAAUAGUAUUCUUAUAUUUGGUUGAAUGGAAUAGAGUUGUAAUAGCAUAAGGAAAAAAGUUAAAAUGACUAGAAUACCCUUAGCAGAAAUUUGUUUAGAUAAAUGAUUAUUGUUAUUGUUAUUAAAUUUUAAUAAGAUUAUUAAUAUCAGUAAUAAAUAAUUUAAUCAUAUUUUAACAUAAUUAUUAUUAAAUAUAAUUUAAUAAAAAUAUAUAAUUUAAUAAAAUUCUUAAUAUUAAAUAUUCUUAAUAUUAAAUUACUAAAAUCAUAAUAUAUAAUACUAUAAAAUAUAAUUUAACAUAAUUAUUAUUAAAUAUAAUUUAAUAAAAUUCUCAAUAUUAAAUAUAUUCUUAUAUGAAUUUACUAAAAUCAUAAUAUAUAAUACUAUAAAAUAUAAUUUAAAAUAAUUAUUAUUAAAUAUAAUUUAAUAAAAAUAUAUAAUUUAAUCUAAAGUUUGAAUGUGUAUUUACCUAGCAAAAAUCAAUGAACUCUCGUGUAACUAUAACCUUAAUAAUAUAUGAUGUAUAAUUAAUAUUUCGUGACUAAUUAAUAGCAUAGAGAUAAAUAUAGUAAUGACGAAUUUAUAGUAUACGAUUAAAAUGCUAAUAAUUUAUAGUAUACAAUUAAAAUAUUAUAAAUAAAAUAAUAGUAAAUGAUAUAUAAGAUAAAUUAACAUAUAAAUAAUUCAGAUAUGUAAAGGAUAUGGCUGAAUAUGGUUGCUCCAAUAAUAAAGGAUAUAUAAUAUAUCAUGGUGUUGUUUUGUUUAGAUAGUUCGGUAACUUAGGAGGGUAUGUAUGAAGAACACAAGUUGAUGCAGAUAGAAAGACGACAAUAUUACAUGAUUACAAUAUGAUAUAGUAUAUAUAUAUAAUUUAUGGAUUCCUUGCAAUCACGUGGGUUCUCUAGCCAUUUUAUUUAGCAUAUCCAGUGAUAUUAAGAUCCAGAAUUAUAAUACAACUAAAAUCUGUGCACACUUAUGGAUGAUCCAACAAAGCCUCAGUUGGCUUUAGGUUCCAAAUCUUGCAACCCACAAACCAUAUUUGCUGGCACUGCAACAUCAAUCAUCUUAGGAUAUGCCAAGUUAAGAUCUGUUGCACCAACAAAAACAGAGGAGAAAUUGGAAGGCGAUCCGAAAAAACCCAAGGAUGCUUUUUCUUUUCUUUUUUUUUUAUAAUCUUUAUAGACUGGUUAUAUUGAGCAUCAACUUACUUUCCAUGAUGUUUUUGAAAGUCUCUUACAAAAAGGGUAUUCAACAAAUAAUAUAAUCAGACAUAUUGAUAGGACAAAUUGAAACUAGUAUUCUAUGAUCAUAAUAAAGAGUAAUCUUUAAUCAAAUGCGUGAAGGUAUUGAGAUGUCAUGCUUUUUCAUGAUUUCCUGUUUUACCAUGGCGAUGUUCAUUGGAAUAGUCCCAUCCAAGAGAAUCAAACCAAUGCUCAGCAAGAAAUGUUCAAUGCAUAUGUAAUUUUAAUUACAGAAGUUAUAUGCAGCUUAUAUGAGUUCAAGAUCAUAAAAUACUUCAUGGACAAAAGGAAACCCUUUCUUAUCACUGAAAUGAAAAUAGGCACUCUUAAUUUUCUAUUGUCAAAAGUAGCAAGCCAUUUUCCAAAGAAAAGGGAAGAUGGAUGGUUCCAGAAAGAAUACCUCAUCCUUUGUCAAGUGUGGAUUAUAUAGCAUCUCCUCUCCCACAGUGGUUACCUAUAAUCAAUGAGGUUUAUAAAAUCGAGCAAUCAUUUAUAUAUGUAAGAAAUGAUAGGAAUAAAGUUUUAUAUCUUACUGAGAAUCCUUUGUAGUCAUGAGCUGGAUAUAGCAAUGUCUCUUUCGGUAAUGUAAAAAUCUGGAUCCAUGAAACAAAUAAGUCCAUAAAUUUUAUUCAAAUUUUGACAAUUACAAUAAAAUUUUGAGAACUCAAAGAAUGUGACCAUAAAAAGUCCCCUGUCCUUACCUGUGAAUGCACUGACUUGUAGAGUUGCUGUGAACUUCCACCCUGCAAAAUGCAUUAAUCAGUGCUAGUCAAUGGCUACUGAAUGUGGGAGCAUUAGAGAAAAUUAUCUUAAAAACUUAAGUAUAACAAAAUUAGACAAUGACAUCCAGAUGGAAAGAAAUUGCCAGCAUAUAAGACCAGCAUUUAUGUACUCACGACUGAAAAUCCUUUGCAAAAAGUAUAGCCCUGAUAGUUCAAACUUUUACUUCAAGGAUGAUUUAAUUACUGAUUAGUUUGCCAUGAGGCUUGUGAAUGACAAACACUUUAUGUGCAACCACAGUAACAAGGUAAGCACCAAUAAGUAGAAGACUAGACGAAUAGGUAACCAAGAGUUAGAGCUAAAACAGACAAACAGAGCUACUAUCCAAUGAGCUAAAACAUACAAACAGAGGUAUAUUUUAAUAAUGAAAAUAAUCGAUUGCCUUAAACACCAUAUAGUGUUCCAAUCAAUCAAAUUAUAGCAGGCAUUAAAACCUUUCCCUUUCGUUAAUUCACAACUAUUAGCUUCAUUAAUCAAAUCCUAUGUACAGUUGAUCGAUUGAAAGUGUAACAUUUCAAAGACGAAAUUUAAACGCAAAACUGGUUAACAUUGAAAUUACAUGUAAAUAUAACCUAAAAAAUCAAAAAAUUAAUCAUAUUUUCAGAUUUCAGGCCGAAAUGGAAUGAAAUGAAAGGUAAAUCCAUUUUUUCCCCAAAAAAACAAAAAUAAAGAAAUAAUAUUUCAAGAACAGAUCAUUAAAUUCAUGGUAUAUAUAAAGAAAUUUAAUUGAAAUCAAAGGAAUAGAAGAAGGGAAAAGCGUACUUGGAACCAUUGCUGCUACUCUCUGUUACUCUGUUACCUCAUACGAUUCGUUAAAGGGUUGUUAGGGUUUGUUAAAAGGUUGGUCAGGAUAGAAGCAUGAAAAGGAGGGAGAAGGUUGGAAGGAAAUGGGAAGAAAAAUGAAAAAAAGAAGAAGAUGCUGCAACGGCUUGGAGGGUAAAAGAGGACCGAUUAGGUAAUCCUUUCUUUUGGAAGGGAUUACAAAUCGGCGCUGCAUAAGGGAAAAUGGGGAAUCAGUGCGCUGCGUAAUAGGCCCGUAUUAAGGCAAUACAGCCAACCAAACAUGGUAAUCAGUGGGGCCACGAAUUAGGGGUGUAUUGGCUAAUCCAAUACACCCAACCAAACAUGCUCUAAAGGACAAAAAAAUUUGAUUUUUUAAAUAUUAUUUUCUCUCUAUUUUGCUAUCAUUUUACUAUUAUGUUGCUACUAUGUUAUUGUUAUUUUUGAAUAUUGUAUAAAACUUAUUUUAUUGUUAAUUUUGUUAUUAUUUUAAAGACAUUUGUUAAUUUUGUUAUUAUUUUAGAGACAUUUGUUUGUUAAGUUGCAUCUAUCUUAGUGUUAUUUAAGUAUACAUAUUUUUUAAAAUUUAUUUUCAAUUUAUUGGGAAAUAUUUAUUUUGAUGUUUUUAGUAUUUUGGAUGUAUUAUAUAUAUUAAAAUUAUAUAAAAAUUAAUAUGGCCGAGCCAGGUCAGGCCCAGAUUUUAGCAUUUUUAUUCAGGUCGGGCUUGAGCAAAAUUUUAAGCCCAUUUUUUGGGCCAAACCAGGCCUGGGCUUAGCAAAUGGGCCUAAAUUUUUAGUCAAGCUCGACCUAAACCCGAUCCGGCCCAUGCUCACCUCUAGAUCAGAGCUGCCCUCGCUUUGCAUUUCUUUGAGAUUCAGUCUUAUCUACUGUUGAUUGCCCACUCAAUGGAGGGUUGAGUAGAAAGAUUUGGUGAAGCAAGCUAAGCUAUCAAUCAAGGUUGGAGAAAGCUUAGGAGGUCACAAUGCAUAAUUAUUUAAAUGUAAUUCUAAUAUUUAAAUAAAAUUUAUUAAUAUAGUAUUAACAAGCCCUAAAUGUAAUGAUUAUAUACUAUUACAUUUUUAAGAAGAGAAAACAUGUUUGAACCUUAAAAACAUCAUUAUUAAAAAUGAUAAUUACAAAUUUUAAAAUAUAAAAAAUAUAAUUAAAAAUUAAUUUUAAACCCGAGCUGGAUAAAAUUCUAAUUUUAGAUAACGAUACUAAUAAGAAAUCAAUAUUAAAAUGAAAAUGAAAAGUAAUUUAAUAUAAUUUUUGAGUCUUGGGCAAAGGCACUCAAUGAAUGCUUGGAAAGAAAUAAUGCAACUUGGUGAUAGCUUUUGUUGGAGUAAUAUGCUCUUAUUAUAGUUUUAUGUUUUUAUCUUGCAAAAACAACAUAUUGGAGUUUUCGGCAUGAUUUUUUCUUAAUACUUUACAUGAAAAAUAAUAAUGGGACUUAAAUUGCUACAAUAUUACAACACAAAGUUACAAUAAGAGCUUAUAACUCAACAAAGGCUAUCAAUAAAUAAUCUCAGGCAAGCUAAAGAGAAAUGUUGAGAAUACCACCCGAAUAGUGACUGACUUUAAAAGUUGAAAACCCGAAGCUAUAUUAUCUCAAACGAAAUCAAACCAUAAACAUUAAAAUUUUCAAGUCUACUAGUUACUGUAAAAAAUUCAGCUCCAACAGACACCAAAUGAGCCUUUGAUCGAAGAAAGUACGAAAAAUAGUCUAGGUAAACCAAGCUUCCAAACUUACUUAUCUUAUCUUUAAUUUGCAGUGAAAUUCAAAAUUAAGAUUUUGUUUAUUUCACUUGGAACAACUUUCAAAAAAUUAUUUUUGAAAAAUGAAUUGGUUUUUCGAAAUAGAUGAUAUUUUAUUGUGUCAAAAUUUUAUUCAUUGUAGGAAAACUUUUUUUAAAUCAUUUUCUUAGAGUUAUUUUUAGUUAAAUAAACAUAACAUAAAUAUAUUUGUUACAAAAAAUUAUACUAGUAUUUUCUUUUGACAAUUAAAAUUUAUUUUAUGGUAAGACAAUAUUUUAUAAUAAUUAAUAUCAUAUAUAUACGUAAUAAAAAUCAUGUUUAAUUAAAAUUUAAUUAAAAUUAGAUGUAUUAAUAAAGCUACUCCUCCACAACCCGCAUCCGCAACAGCACCAGCACCAGCACCAGCACCAGCAUCAGCACCAUGGGACAACUAUUGGGUUUCCUCCACCUGCCUCUAUCGCUCCUCCUCAGUAUUACCCCCAAGCCUACCAGACCGUGCCGGGUAUUCUACAAAUAUGAAAAAACCUUCUUCUCUUUUUAUUAGCUUAUCGAAAUGAAGGAUUUUGAGAUUUGGGCUUUUGUUAGAUGGAUGGUUAAUGAUAUUUUUUAGAUGAAAGAUACAAGUUUUUUAAUGUUUUAGAAGAAAAGGUGUUUAAAUAUUAGGAGUUUUUUAGCAGAGAAAGAAGAUAAAUAAAUGCAUAGAGAUACAUUAGCAAUAUUAUUUGGAUUUGGUUGUCUAAUGUAAUGAAGAAUUUUUUAAGGGUGACCUGAGUAGGUGUGGCAAGAUUCAAAGUUUUUUCUAUUAUAGCAGAUAUAUAUAUAUUAAUGGUUUAAGAAGACUAGAAGUCGGUUUCAAAGGAAGAUGAGAAAUAAAAGCAUUUAUAUAUAUGAUAUGUCAUUAAUUCAUAAACCAAAUAUAUAAAGUAUGUAAAAGUGUCAGGGGUUAAUCAUGGUGUUUUGACAAUCCGGUAACCUUCAACUUGAAGAAAACCUUAGGUUUCAAAAAUUUAUGUGAAGAGUUAGAAUGGUAUGCUUCAUGGAUCUGAAUAACUAGAACAGUGUAAGAGUGGUAUAUUGUGUCAAGUUUGGUUUCUUGUAUAUAAUUGUAUCGAAAACAAUGUUACAUGAGUUAAAAUGAAUGUUCAUCCAAUUUAACAAAGCCUGCAUUAUGUUGAUCAAAAUUUUUAAUUCAUGUUGAGGUUUCUUCCGUGAUAUCUUUGAUGUCAAGGUUAUGAUGUUGCUGAAGGGACACCUGUAAGAGAUAAGCCACCGUGCUGUGGCAUUGGAUUCGGAUGGUUCUUGUAAGUGUACAUAGUUUUCUUUGUUUUUAAAGAGUUCUUUACAUAUGAAGUAAAACAAGUAGCGACUUGAUGGAUAUGUCAUUAAGCUUUAACUUAAGCAAAUCAUUUUCCUUCAUCUCUAAUUGCCAUUUCUUUAAAAGAAAAAGAGGAAGUUUUGUAGUUUACAGUUUGGACAAAUGGAAGUUAAUAUAAUGCACUAUUUGGAUGGACUAUGGAGAUAUCCAAUCAUAUUGGAUGAGUUAUAAGAAACCUGUGAGUUCAUAUUGGGUUUACUUUAUAUCAUAAUUAGAUUGUUGAGCUGGCUGUCAUACUUAGAUGGUAUUUCACGUUGCUACUUGUUAAACUAUACCACUUUCACAUUCAUACGUGAAAUGGCUGGGAUUUAGUGCCAUUCUACUUAGCAGCCUCGUGUAAUACACAGGUGAAAUGUUUAUGUCUUCAUGUCACCUUAAAGUUCCCAUUUCCAUGACGGUAUUGUUAAGUAAAGACUGGUACAUACCCCAAAAUACGGAAAUUGUUUUGGAUGUAUACUAUACUUUACCAUGCAUGAUUUUUUACAAGUUUGCAUGGUAUUUUAUCAUUAUAUUGGUCUUUAUUUUCUAUACUCGCAGCUUCCAUUAAUAUAUUUUUAUGAAUUUUAUCAUUAUGCUGGUUUGAAGGUUCAUCAUUGGUUUCUUCAUUGGGGGCCAUCCCUGGUAUAUUGGAUUCUUUGUUUUACUUUGUGCAAGGAUAGACGACAGAGAGAAAGCAGGAUAUAUUGCAUGCACAAUUGCCGUGAGUAUCUUUUCUAUCAUUAUUUUUUUCUUUUCCAAUUUUAUGAAAGCCAUCCUUCCUGCCUUGUAUUGAUCAUCAAUUUAACCAUUAUAUAUAUGUAUCUUAUGUAUUUGUACCAUGCUUUAUCUUCAAUGCAAAUAUAAGUUAAACUACAAAGAUUGGAUUGUUAAAAAAAGUUUAAAAUGUUAAAAAAAUUGAAAAUUUUGAUUUUGUAAGAAUGAUAGAAAACCAAGGCCAGUGCUUGCAUAUGUUAUCUACUACAUGCACAAUCGGGUCGAUGUCUGUAUAUGUUUCAUGUUUAGAAAUCGUGUUCAAUUGGGUUACGAUAUGUACAAUUGAAGUGUCAAUUUAUAAUUUCCUUAUCAAGAUUACACAUUUUUUUGUUAAUAUUCGGAAUCACUCAAUGGUUAUAAACCCUGAUUGGAUACUGUCCACAAAGUCUAGUUGGAACAUCCCUUGUAUUCUUUGUCCUUUCUAAGAACUUUCCUUUCCAUCAUUCUCGCUUCUGUUUUUUUUUUCUUCCCUCUACUUUAAGUCAUUAUCUAACGUAGAUAUCCCUUGUAUUCUUUGUCCUUUCUAUGGCAAUCGAGUCAAUUGAUGGCAAGCCAAAAAAACAAAAAGAGCAGCUAUCCUGUCUUACUCGAUUGCCAUCCCUCCUGUUAAACACCAUUAAGAAAAGGAAAAUUUUAGUUAAGCUUUAAAACAGCCAUGUUUUAACGAUGUUGGUGAUGGUGCUUGUGCAGGCCCUUCUUGCUACAAUUACAAUUAUUCUUAGUGCAACAAUUAAAGCUGGUGGGUGAUAAAGCACACCUCUUUUGACUGAGAGAUGUAUAGGUUCCCAAAUAAUAUGUAUAUGCUCCCCCCCCUCCCUUUAUUUUAUUUUAUUUCCAGUAAGUUAUUGUUUAUGAUAAUUUGCAACAAAUGUUUUUGUCAUUAUUUUGUUGGUGAAUGAUAAUAAGAUUAAGCUUUACUUUCUUAAGCUCCAAUUCCUUGGACGUUGGUGAUUUUUUUAUUAUAGUUGAGUCAUUGUAUGGUAUUAAUAUAAUUUAUGUCGCUUAAAAUUUAUAACUAAAAAUAUAAAAUUUAAAUUUUACUUCAAUUUAUUUGUAUUUAUAAAUGGUUAAUUCAAACUUAUUUUUUUCCUCAUUAUAUUUUAUAUUUAAAUUAACAUUUAAACUAUUUUUCAUUAGCAAUGUUGUUAAGAAUUAUAUUUUUUAGCACCAACAUCAAACUUACUAAAAUUAAAUUUUUAACUAUUUAAAAAAAAUAUUUUUAGCUAUUUAUCAUCAUAGAGAAAAAAAGGUGACGUCACCACGCCUCAUGCUUCGACACCACAAACUAGACUCUCAUCACCCGUAUUUAUCAUCGAUUCAAAUUCCAGAACUACCUAAAAAUAUAUCUUCAAACUUCCUCUGGUUAAGUUCAUUGAUAGUCAACUUACUAUCAUUUCUAAAAAAAAAACAAAUAAAUUGGUUAAUAGUAAUCUCAAUGAUUCAAUUUUAUUCUUACCAGUAUCUGUCCUUUAGAAAGGGGCUUAUAAAAGGGGUAGAGGUGAGUAAACUUGAGCUUCAGCUUUCCACAAACACCUUAAUUUGAAGACACAGUUCUCUCAUACUAAAAAAGACAUGGAAGUUUACCUUGUAAUUAGAGAUUUGGUUUCAUUGCUUGUUGUUGGGUUAUUAAUGAUAUGGGGAUGCAGAACUUUAAACUGGGUAUGGCUGGCCCCAAAAAGGCUCGAAAGCUGCUUGAGACAACAGGGUUUUGCAGGGAAUCCUUACAGGUUCCUUUCUGGUGACAUAAAAGAGCUCUCAACUAUGAGCAGACAAACAAGAGCCAAACCUAUGCCUCUUAGUGAUGAUAUUGGGCCUUAUGUUGUUCCUUUUCAACAUCAAACUGCUAACCAGUAUGGUAUGUUUUUUUUGUUUAAUCUGCAAUUUAUGAUAAUUCUUUGUUAUUUAUGUAUGGAAUUUAUUGGGAGGAAAUGCAGGAAAGAAUUCAUUUACGUGGUUUGGUCCAAGACCAAGGGUGAACAUUACGGACCCUGAAAAAAUAAGAGAAAUACUUAACAAAUUUAAUGACUUCCAGAAGAUACAUACCAAUCCACUGCUUAAUUUGCUUGUAAGCGGCCUUGCUAACCUCGACGGAGACCGAUGGAGCAAGCGUAGAAAAAUCAUAAACCCUGCAUUUCAUCAAGAUAAGUUGAAGGUAUAGAAUAGUGAUGGGUAAUCAGACUUUACAGAAAACAUCAUACUUAAACCUAUGCUUUUCUGAUUUAGAAAUAAUUGGAUGCAGAAUAUGUUGCCAGCAUUUUAUCAAAGUUGUAGUGACAUGUUAAGCAAAUGGGAGAAGAUGGUGUGUACAAAAGGAUACAGUGAGUUAGAUGUGUGGCCUUAUCUCGUAGAUUUGACAAGAGAUGUGAUUUCCCGAUCUGCUUUUGGAAGCAGCUUCGAAGAAGGCAAACGAAUUUUCCAAUUACUAGAGGACCAACUCGUUCACAUAAUCAAAUUAAUACAAACUGUUUACAUUCCAGGAUGGAGGUAACCGUCAACUUAAUUUACUUGAAAAAGGUUGCAAAUGUUGGAAUUCGCUAAAUUCGUGUUUGUUUUCUUGAAGGUUUUUGCCAACGAAGACAAACAGGGAGAUGAAGAUGAAACACAGGGACAUAAAAGAGUUGCUUAUGGAAAUGAUAAAGAGAAGGGAGAAGGCAAUUAAAGCAGGGGAAGAGAGCAAUGAGGACUUGUUGGACAUACUUGUGGAAUCCAAUAUCAGAGAAAUGGAAGCAAAGAAUAUUGGGAUGAGCAUUGAGGAUGUGAUUGAGGAAUGCAAGCUGUUUUACUUAGCUGGCCAAGAGACCACUUCGGUCUUACUGGUGUGGACUAUGGUUUUAUUAGCAAGGUAUCCCGAUUGGCAAAGUAAAGCAAGAGAGGAGGUUUUGCAUGUUUUGGGUGACAGUAAACCUGACGCUGAUGGCCUUAAUCGUCUCAAAGUUGUAAGUCCCUAGCAUGUCUUUUGAAGGUCCGAUCAAUGAGGUCGACAACUCAAAAACUUUGUUUCUUUUUUCGCUAAUUCUACAGGUAACAAUGAUAUUGUACGAGGUUCUAAGGCUGUACCCACCGGUGGUUGAGCUAGAACGUUCCGUUCCAAAAGAAAUAAAACUGGGGAAUUUGUUGUUACCAGUAGGAACAGAAGUUUCGGUUCCGAUCCUGCUGAUCCACCAUGACAAAGAUCUUUGGGGCGAUGACGCACGGGAAUUUAAGCCAGAGCGGUUCGCGGAAGGGGUUUCCAAAGCAACAAAGAGUCAAGUCACGUUUCUGCCAUUCGGAUGGGGUCCUAGGAUCUGUAUUGGCCAAAAUUUUGCUAUGAUGGAAGCCAAAAUGGCGAUGGCUAUGAUUCUCCAACGCUUCUGGUUCGAGCUUUCCCCUUCCUAUGCUCACUCUCCUUACGGCAGGGCAACUCUUCGUCCACAGCAUGGUGCACAGAUAAUUUUACAUAAACUUGGCUGUAAUUGAAUUGUUAUGUAAACAAAUCUUUGUGAAAACAUAGCGUUUUAGUUUAUCGUCAAAGUCCGGUGUCUGUAAUGGUACAAAUUCGAUGCAUGAAUAGUAAAGUUUGAGAUGUUUGGUGAAGUCCGAAAUAAUAUGCAGAAAUUGAGUGUGGUAAUUAUCAAUCAAAUAAUUCGGUACAAAGACUUACAUGGAAAUUAAAGCAGGGGGAGUUGAAAAUGACUACUCUGCUUUGGGCAUCAAUUUAGAAAGAUUUAAAGUACAAAUGUGUUAUUAGUUAAGGGAUUUGUUUUAAAGAGGGAAUGACAAUUAAACCUCAUGGUUGAUUUGUGGAAGGGAACCGAUGAUGGGAUGAUUAUUCUUAGUGGUAAAAAAAACUAUUGUGGAGGUUAUUAUACUUGUUAUCAUCGGCUUAAAAUUCGAAUGGGUUCAAGUCGGAUUAUAUCGAGCUUGUAAGAUGAGUUCACGGAUCAAAUUUGCAUAAUAAAAAUACUUAAAUGAAAAAAAUUUCUAUUUUAGAGGGACCAGAGCCCCUACCAAUUCCCGGCUCAGCUACUAAACAAUACCCAUAUCAUAUAAAUAAAUACCACCAUAAAAAAAACUCAAAGAAAAACACUGACAAAUGAUAAAUAGAUAGAUGUUGGAUAAGUGUCCAAAAUAUGAUUUAAGUGAAGAUACAUGGGGUAGGUGUCACGGAAAUGUGAAUACAAGAAUACUACUAAUGGGAUGUGUACAGUUGAAUGUAGGGAGCAAAAAGAGGAGUGAAUCAUUUUGGUAACAUUGGGACAAGAAACAUAAUGAACAAAAUGGAAGGAGAGGAAGCUAGUAAAAGAAAUUUUUUGGGUCAUAUAAUUUGUUUGGCAUAUAUUUUUAUAAUUUUUAAAUAUCAUUUUGGACUUGAAUUAUAAUUUUUUUAUAUAUUAUCUUAAAAUUGUAUAAAUUUUAAGGAGUUAAAACAAAAUUAUUCUAUUUUUAGAUGGUUAAAGUAGAGAUGAUAAUGGGUUGAGCUAUUCGGCCCAGCCUGACGAUCCACCCGAAAAAUAGGAAGGUUUGGGUAAAAAUAUAGGCUUGAAAUAUGAAUUUGAGCAAAAAAAGAGGCCCGUUUAGAAAAUGGGCCGAGCCUCGGGUAAAACCUUUUGGGUCUAGACCUGACCUAAAUUAUAUAUUAAAUAUAUAUAUUUUUAUUUUUAAUCAAAUAUACUUUUGUUUUAUUAUUAAUUUGGUUAUUAUUUUAGUUCUAAUUUGUUUCAAUUUUAAUAUAACUACUUUUUAUUAUAUUUUCAAUUUGUGCAUUGUUUUAAGAAUUAUUUUAGUCUCAUUAUUUAUUUAUUUUUUAUUUUAAUAUUUGUUUUAAAAUUUUUUAUUUAUUGAAAUAAGCUAAAAAAAUUAAUAUGGGUUGGACCAGACCGGGCUCGGGCCUAGUAAUUUUCUUUUGGGCCGGACUUAAACAAAUUUUUAAGCCCAUAUUUUGAAUUGGGUCCUACACUAGAAAAUGGACCUAAAAUUUUGUAUUACCUUUAGGUCAGAGCUAUCCUCGUUUUGCAUUUCUUUGAGAUUCAGCCUUAUUUACUUUUGAUUGCCCACUCAAUAGAGGGUUGAGUAGAAAUAUUUGGUGAAGCAAGCUAAGCUAUCAAUCAAGGUGUGCAUAAUUAUUUAAAUGUAAUUCUAAUAUUAAAAUAAAAUUUUUAUUAAUAUAGUAUCAACAAGCAUUAAAUGUAAUCAUCAUAUACUAUUAAAUUUUCAAUAAGAGAAAACAAGCUUGAACUUUAAAAACGAUGUUACUAAAAACAUUAUCACAAAUCUUGAAAUAUAAAAAAUACUUUUUAAUAUAAUAAAAAAAUAAUUUUAAAACCGAGAUGAAUAAAAUUCUAAUUUUAAUUAAUGAUACCAACAACAAAUCAAUAUUUAAAUUAAAAUUUAUCUUAAUUUAAUAUAAUAAAAUUGGACUUGAAUAUUGAAUUUUUGAGUCUUGGGCAAAGUAGAGGUGCUCAUGGGCCGGGUUGGGUCGGGUUUGGGAAAAAUUUCGGCCCGCAUCCUAGGCUCGGGCUCGGCCCGACCCAAAUAUGGGCCUAAAAUUUUGUCUAGGCCUAGCCCGGCCCGGCCCAACUCAUUUUUUUUAAUAAACACCAAAAAUUUAUUUUGAAAAUAAAAAAAUAAAAAAAGUAUUUUAAAAAUAUUUUAAAAUUUUUAAAAAAUAUAUAUAUUUAUUAUAUAUUCGGGCCGGGCCAGGCCCGAGCCAAAAAAGUGGCGCCCAAGGCCCGGCCUGUUUUCUAAACGGGACUCAUUUUUUACCCAAACCCAUAUUUCGGGCCUAUAUUUCUACCCGAAUCUCUCAUAUUUAGGGCGAACCGUCGGGCCGGACCGGGCCGCCCGGCCAUGAACACCUCUAGGACAAAGUCACUCAAUGAAUGCAUGGAAAGAAAUAAUGCAACUUGGUGAUAGCUUUUGUUGGAGUUAUAUGCUUUUUUUUUACGUAGUGGAACUUUCGGUGGAUUUUCAAGUUUCAUGAACUUUAUACUCUAUGCUUUACGUGAAAAAAAAAAUUCAUUGGACUUAAAAGUCUACCAAAAGUUUCACUAAAAAAAAAACCAUUGCUACAAGAUUACAACAUAAAGUUACAAUAAGAGCUUAUAACUCAACAAAGGCUAUCAAUAAAUAAUCUCAAACAAAUUAAAGAGAAAUGUUGAGAGUACCACUCGAAUAGUGAUUAACUUUAAAAAUUGAAAACCCAAAGUUAUAAUAUCCCAAACGAAAUCAAACCAUAAACAUUAAAUUUUUCGAGUCUACUAGAUACUGCAAAAAAUUCAGCUCCAACAGACACCAAAUGAACCUAUGAUCGAAGAAAAUACGAAAACUAGUCUAGCUAAAUCAAGCUGCCAAACUUACUUUUUAUCUUAUCUUUAAUUUGCUGUGAAAUUCAAAACUAAGGUUUUGUACUUAGAACAACUUUCAAAAAGUUAAUUUUGAAAAAUGGAUUGAAUUUUCAAAAUAGAUGAUAUUUUAUUGUGUUAAAAUUUUAUUCGUUGUUUGAAAAAAAAUUUAAAUCAUUUUCUUAGAAUUAUUUUUAGUGAAACAAACAUAUCAUAAAUAUAUUUGUUAUAAAAUAUUUAUAUUAAUAUUUUCUUUUAACAAUUAAAAUAUAUUUUGUGAUAAGGUAUAUUUUAUAAUAAUUAAUAUCAUAUAUACUUAAUAAUAAAUCAUGUCUAAUUAAAAUUUAAUUUCAAUUAAAUAUAUUAAUAAAGCUACAUAUAAUCAUAUUUUAUAUAAUAAAAAUAUUAAUAUAAAUAUUUUUUUAAUAAUAUAUUAAAGAAUAUUUAAAAUUUAAAUUUAUUAUUACUAAGAUUAAUUAUUAAAAUAAAAAUGUAAUGUUAAAUAAUUUAUCCAAUGAUAAGUUAUAUUAAUAAUUUAUUAUAUUAUUAAAUAUAAAUAAUUAAAUAUGUAUGUUUAAUAAUAUUAUGUUAUAAUAUUUAUUAUUAAUAUUUUAAUAUUUUUAAACAACCAUGUUUUAAAGAUGGUGGUGAUGGUGAUGGUGCAGGCCCCCUUGUUACAAUUACAAUAUUUUUAAGUGGGAUGCAUGUAAUAUAUUGUUAGGGUUUUAGAGUGUGUGGUCUUUAAAAGGGUUAAAUUAUAUAUUUAUAUAAUAUGAUUAUUGUUUAUAAAUAUAAUAUUGUAGAUAAACUUUUAUGCAUGUCAAUAUGUAUCCUACUCUGGGGUUAAUAUGUAUUUUUAGAUAUGGAUUCACCUAUAUAAUAGUAUGAAUCCAUCAUGCGGUCUCAUGAAAUAUACAAACACAUAUCGUGCGAACACAAAGUACGAACAAUAAAAAGUACAAAUCAAGACCAAUUGAGUAAUUGAAUAGCAGAUAGGUAAUAAUGACUAUCCCCUCUUGUUUGAAUUUAUUUUAUUUCCAGUGAGUUAUCGUUUAUGAUAAAUUUACAACAAAUGUUUUUAUCAUUAUUUUGUUGGUAAAUGAUAAUAAGAUUAAACUUUACUUUCUUAAGCUCCUUCAAUUCUUUGGACGUUAGCAAGUAAACUUGAGCUUCAGCAUUCCACAAACACCUUAAUUUGAAGACACAGUUCUCCCAUACUAAAAACAACAUGGACGUUUACCUUGUAAUUAGAGAUUUGGGCUCAUUGUUAGGUUAUUAAUGAUACGGGGAUGGAGAGCUUUAAACUGGGUAUGGCUGGCCCCAAAGAGGCUCGAAACGUGCUUGAGACUAGAGGUCCAGGCAAAUUUUUAGGCCCAUUUUUUAGGCCUGGACUGGGCCCGACUCGAAAUAUGAGCUUAAAAAUUUGUCUAAGUUCGGUCCAAAAGAAAAUUGUUAAGCCUAAGCCCGGCCCAUAUUAAAUUUUACAACACCAAAAAACUAUAUAUUUAAUAUAUAUAUUUGAUUAAAAAGUAUAUUUAAUUAAAAAUAAAAAUAUAUAUUUAAUAUAUAAUUCGGGCCGGGCCGAACUCGGGCCAAAAAAGUUUUACUCGGGGCUGGUCCGUUUUCUAAACAGACCUCGUUUUUUUGUCAAAAUCCAUAUUUUAGGCUUAUAUUUUUACCCGAAACUUCCUAUUUUUCGGGUGAACCGUCAGGCCGGACUAGGUAGCCCAACCAAUGAUCACCUCUACUUGAGACAACAGGGUUUUGCAGGGAAUUCUUACAGGUUCGUUUCUGGCGACAUAAAAGAGCUCUUCACUAUAAGCAUACAAACAAGAGCCAAACCUAUGCCUCUUAGUGAUGAUAUUGGGCCUUAUGUUGUUCCUUUUCAACAUCAAACCGUCAAUCAGUAUGGUAUGUUUUUUAAUUUAAUCUGCAAUUUAUGAUAAUUCUUUGCUAUUUAUGUAUGGAAUUUAUUGGGAGGAAAUGCUGGGAAGAAUUCAUUUACGUGGAUUGGUCCAAGAUCAAGGGUGAACAUUACGGACCCGGAAAAAUAAGAGAAAUACUUAACAAAUUUAAUGACUUCCAGAAGGUACGUACCAAUCCACUGCUUAAUUUGCUUGUAAGCGGCCUUGUUAACCUCGAAGGAGACCGAUGGAGCAAGCAUAGAAAAAUCAUAACCCUUCAUUUCAUCAAGAUAAGUUGAAGGUAUAGAAUAGUGAUGGGUACUUAGACUUAAUUUACAGAAAACAUCAUACUUAAAUCUAUGCUUUUCUGAUUUAGAAAUGAUUGGAUGCAGAAUAUGUUGCCAGCAUUUUAUCAAAGUUGUUGUGACAUGUUAAGCAAAUGGGAGAAGAUGGUGUGUACAGAAGGAUACAGUGAGUUAGAUGUGUGGCCUUAUCUUGUAGAUUUGACAAGAGAUGUGAUUUCCCGAUCUGCUUUUGGAAGCAGCUUCGAAGAAGGCAGACGAAUUUUCCAAUUACUAGAGGACCAACUCGUUCUCACAAUCAAAUUAAUACAAACUGUUUACAUUCCAGGAUGGAGGUAACCCUCAACUUAAUUUACUUGAAAAAGGUUGCAAAUGUUGGAAUUGGCUAAAUUCGUGUUUGUUUUCUUGAAGGUUUUUGCCAACAAAGACAAACAGGGAGAUGAAGAUGAAACACAGACAUAAAAGAGUCGCUUAGGGAAAUGAUAAAGAGAAGGGAGAAGGCAAUUAAAGCAGGGGAAGAGAGCAAUGAGGACUUGUUGGACAUACUUGUGGAAUCCAAUAUCAGAGAAAUGGAAGCAAAGAAAAAGGGGAUGAGCAUUGAGGAUGUGAUUGAGGAAUGCAAGCUGUUUUACUUUGCUGGCCAGGAGACCACUUCGGUCUUGCUGGUGUGGACUAUGGUUUUAUUAGCAAGGUAUCCCGAUUGGCAAAGUAAAGCAAGAGAGGAGGUUUUGCAUGUUUUGGGUGACAGUAAACCUGAUGCUGAUGGCCUUAAUCGUCUCAAAGUUGUAAGUCCCUAGCAUGUCUCUUGAAGGUCCGAUCUCUGAGGUCGACAACUCAAAAACUUGGUUUCUUUGUUUCGCUAAUUCUACAGUUAACAAUGAUAUUGUACGAGGUUCUAAGGCUGUACCCACCAGUGAUUGAGCUAGGACGUUCCGUUCCAAAAGAAAUAAAACUGGGAAAUUUGUUGUUACCAGCAGGAACAGACGUUUCGGUUCCAAUCCUGCAGAUCCACCAUGACAAAGAUCUUUAGGGCGACGACGCACGGGAAUUUAAGCCACAGCGGUUCACGGAAGGGGUUUCCUAAGCAACAAAGAGUCAAGUCACGUUUCUGCCAUUCGGAUGGGGUCCUAGGAUCUGCAUUGGCCAAAACUUUGCCAUGAUGGGAACCAAAAUGGCGAUGGCUAUGAUUCUCCAACGCUUCUGGUUCGAGCUUUCCUCUUCCUAUGCUUACUCUCCUUACAACAUGGCAACUCUUCGUCCACAGCAUGGUGCACAGAUAAUUUUACAAAAACUUGGCUGUAAUUGAAUUGUUAUGUAAACAAAUCUUUGUGAAAAUAUAGUGUUUUAGUGUAUCGUCAAAGUCUGCCUGUAAUGGUACAAUUCCGAUGCAUGAAUAGUAAAUCUUGAGAUGUUUGGUGAAGUCCGAAAUAAUAUGCAGAAAUUGAGUGUCUUGAAUGGAUGUAGUAUUUAAUGGUGGACAUAGUUGAGGGACUAAUGUGGUAAUUAUCAAACAAAUAAUUGCAUAUGGUACAAAGACUUGUAUGGAAAUUAGAGCAGGGCGAGUUGAAAAUUACUACUUUGCUUCGGGCAUCAAUUUAGAAAGAUUUAAAGUACAAAUGUAUUAUUAGUUUAAGGGAUUUGUUUUAAAGAAGGAAUGACAAUUAAACCUCAUGGUUGAUGUGUGGAAGGGAACCAAUGAUGGGAUGAUUACUCUUAGUGGUAAAAAAAAAAACUAUUAAGGUGGUUAUUAUAGUUGUUAUCACCGGCCCAAAAUUCGAAUAGGUUCAGGUCGGAUUAUAUUGAGCUUGUAGAUGAGUUUGCAUGAUAAUAGGUGUUCACAGAAAGAUAUCUAUAGUUUCCUACAAAGUCACAUGUGAGAUCGUGCAUUGGGACCGCAUAAAAAUGUUUUAUGUUUAGAAUAUGAUACGUGUCUAUGUGUAUGGAAUCUACCUAAUAUAUCAUAUUAAUUAAUAGUAUCAAUUGCGGAGCCAAAAAAUUAUUUCUGAGGGGUCAGAAUUAAAUUGUAUAUUUUUACAAAAAUAAAAAUUAAAUUUCACUAUUUUAAUAGUUUAUUUCUUUUUAAUUUUUAAAUGAUUAAAUUAAAUUUUUAUAAAUUUUUGGGAUCAAAGUACAAUUUUAUCAUUUCUAAUUUAAAAUUUUAUAAAAUAUAAAAAGUUUAUAUGAAAAGUUUUCUAUUUUAGAGUGGCCAAAGCCCCUGCCAACUUCCGACUCGAUCACUAAACAAUAUAAAUAAAUAAAUACCACCAUCUAAAAGACUCAAGAAAAACACUCAACGAUAAAUAGAUAGAUGUUGGGUAAAGAUACGUUUGGAUGGGCGGUGCGUUUACUUGCGGUUAGUAUAAAAAUAGCGGUGGCGGUUAGAUUAGAUACUAUAGCAACACUGUAGCGUAAGACAAAAAAUAAGCUAAACGUACUGCACUGCACUUAAUCGCCCAUCCAAACUCACCCUAAGUGUACAAAAUAUGAUUUAAGUGAAGAUACGUAGGGUAGGUGUCAUGGAAAUGUAAAAGACAAGAAUCCCACUAAUGUAUGGGAUGUGUACAGCUGAAUGUAGGGAGCAAAGAGGAGUGAAUCAUUUUGGUAACAUUUGGACAAGAAACAUAAUGAACAAAAUGAAAGGAGAGGAAGCUAGUAAAAGAUUUUUUUGAGUUAUAUAAUUUGUUUGGCAUAUAUUUUUAUAAUUUUUAAAUAUCAUUUUGGAGUUGAAUUAUAAUUUCUUUUUAUGUUUUAAAACAUAAUUAUUCUAUCUUCAAAGGGUUAGAGUAGAGGUGAGCAUGGGUCGGGCUACUCGGCCCGAAAUGUGAGAGAUUUGGGCAAAAAUAUAGGCUCAAAAAAUGGACUUGGACAAAAAAAUAUAAGACCCGUUGAAAAAUGGGCCGGGCAUUGGGUAAGGCAUUUUUGGCCCUGGGCCCGGCCCAAUCCUAAUUCACUAAAGGACAAAAAAAAUUUGAUUUUUAAAUAUUAUUUUCUUCCUAUUUUGCUACCAUUUUACUAUUAUGUUGCUACUAUUUUGUUGUUAUUUUUUGGAUAUUGUAUAAAACUUAUUUUAUUGUUAAUUUUGUUAUUAUUUUAAAGACAUUUGUUAAUUUUGUUAUUAUUUUAGAGACAUUUGCUUGUUAAGUUGUAUCUAUCUUAGUGUUAUUUAAGUGUACAUAUUUUUUAAAAUUUAUUUUCAAUUUAUUGGGAAAUAUUUAUUUUGAUGUUUUUAGUAUUUUGGAUGUAUUAUAUAUAUUAAAAUUAUAUAAAAAUUAAUAUGGCCGAGCCGAGUCAGGCCCAGAUUUUAGCAUUUUUAUUCAGGUCGGGCUUGAGCAAAAUUUUAAGCCCAUUUUUUGGGCCAAACCAGGCCUGGGCUUAGCAAAUGGGCCUAAAUUUUUAGUCAAGCCCGACCUAAACCCGAUCCGGCCCAUGCUCACCUCUAGAUCAGAGCUGCCCUCGCUUUGCAUUUCUUUGAGAUUCAGUCUUAUCUACUGUUGAUUGCCCACUCAAUGGAGGGUUGAGUAGAAAGAUUUGGUGAAGCAAGCUAAGCUAUCAAUCAAGGUUGGAGAAAGCUUAGGAGGUCACAAUGCAUAAUUAUUUAAAUGUAAUUCUAAUAUUUAAAUAAAAUUUAUUAAUAUAGUAUUAACAAGCCCUAAAUGUAAUGAGUAUAUACUAUUACAUUUUUAAGAAGAGAAAACAUGUUUGAACCUUAAAAACAUCAUUAUUAAAAAUGAUAAUUACAAAUUUUAAAAUAUAAAAAAUAUAAUUAAAAAUUAAUUUUAAACCCGAGCUGGAUAAAAUUCUAAUUUUAGAUAACGAUACUAAUAAGAAAUCAAUAUUAAAAUGAAAAUGAAAAGUAAUUUAAUAUAAUUUUUGAGUCUUGGGCAAAGGCACUCAAUGAAUGCUUGGAAAGAAAUAAUGCAACUUGGUGAUAGCUUUUGUUGGAGUAGUAUGCUCUUAUUAUAGUUUUAUGUUUUUAUCUUGCAAAAACAACAUAUUGGAGUUUUCGGCAUGAUUUUUUCUUAAUACUUUACAUGAAAAAUAAUAAUGGGACUUAAAAAUCUAUCAAAAGCUUCACCAUAAUAAUAAUAAUAAUAAUAAUAAUAAUAAAUUGCUACAAUAUUACAACACAAAGUUACAAUAAGAGCUUAUAACUCAACAAAGGUUAUCAAUAAAUAAUCUCAGGCAAGCUAAAGAGAAAUGUUGAGAAUACCACCCGAAUAGUGACUGACUUUAAAAGUUGAAAACCCGAAGCUAUAGUAUCUCAAACGAAAUCAAACCAUUAACAUUAAAAUUUUCAAGUCUACUAGCUACUGUAAAAAAUGCAGCUCCAACAUACACCAAAUGAGUCUUUGAUCGAAGAAAGUACAAAAACUAGUCUGGGUAAACCAAGCUGCCAAACUUACUUAUCUUAUCUUUAAUUUUGCAGUGAAAUUAAAAAUUAAGUUUUUGUUUAUUUCACUUGGAACAACUUUCAAAAAAUUAUUUUUGAAAAAUGGAUUGGUUUUUCGAAAUAGAUGAUAUUUUAUUGUGUUAAAAUUUUAUUCGUUGUUGGAAAACUUUUUUUAAAUCAUUUUCUUAAAGUUAUUUUUAGUGAAACAAACAUAACAUAAAUAUAUUUGUUACAAAAAAAUUAUAUUAGUAUUUUCUUUUGACAAUUAAAAUUUAUUUUAUGAUAAGACAAUAUUUUGUAAUAAUUAAUAUCAUAUAUAUAUACGUAAUAAAAAAAUCUUGUUUAAUUAAAAUUUAAUUAAAAUUAAAUAUAUUAAUAAAGCUACAUAUAAUCAUAUUUUUUAUAAUUAAAAUAUUAAUAUAAAUAUUUUUCAAUAAUAUAUUAAAAUAUUAAAAUUUAAAUUAUUAUUACUUAAAUUAAUUAUUAAAAUAAAAAAUUUAAUAUUAAAUAAUUUAUUCAAUGAUAAGUUUUAUUAAUAAUUUAUUGUAUUAUUAAAUAUAAUUAAUUAAAUAUGCAUAUUUAAUAAUAUUACGUUAUAAUAUUUUAAUAUUCUUAAACAGCCAUGUUUUUAAGAUGCUGGUGAUGGUGAUGCUGCGGGCCUCUCUUGUUACAAUUACUAUAAUUUUUUGUGCAAUAAUUGAAGUUGUUGGGUGGUCAAGCAAACCUCUUUUGACUGAGAUGCAUAUAAUAUACCCGCAUGUCCCCGCCUCCUAAAAUUUAAAUUUGUUAUUUGAAUCUUUAAAUUUUUUAAUAUAAUAUACCCGCAUGUCCCCGCCUCCUAAAAUUUAAAUUUGUUAUUUGAAUCUUUAAAUUUUUUAAAAAUUUUAAAUUCAUAAAAGUAAAAUUAUACUUUGACCCUCUAAAAUUAUAAAAAUUUAAUUAAUCUUUUAAAUUCAUUGGGCCCCUAAUAUAUUGUUCAGGCUUCACCCUUGAUACUGAUGUUGACUAUUUUAGAGUAUGUGUCUUCUUUAACAGGGUUAAAUUAUAUAUUUAUAUAAUAUAGUUAUUGUUUAUGGACGUGACAUCGUAACUAGGUUCUUAUGCAUGUCAACAUAUAUCCUAUUUUAAGGUUAACACGUAUUUUUAAAUGUGAAUUCACCUAUAUAAUGGUAUGAACCAUCAUGCAGUCUCAUAAAAUAUGCGAAUAUAUGUCGUGCGAACACAAAGUACAAUCCACACAGAAUACGAAUUAAGACCCAAUUGAAUAAUCGGAUACGAAUCAGUAAUAAUGAAUUUCAUAACAGCCACCAACCCCUCUUUUGUUUUAAUUUAUUUUAUUUCCAGUAAGUUAUUGUUUGUGAGAAUUCACAACAAAUGCUUUUGUCAUUAUUUUGUUGGUAAAUAAUAAUAAGAUUAAACUUUACUUUCUUAAGCUCCUUCAAUUCUUUGGAAGUUGGUGGUUUUUUAUUCUAAUCUUAUUUUUUUUAUUAAUUUCUUUUUUUAUAAUAAAUGUGUUUAUAGAUCAGGUUGGAUUAUAAUUGAAUCAUUGUCUGGUAUUAACAUAAUUUAAAUCGAUUAAAAUUUAUUCGACUGGAAAUAUAAAUUUAAAAUUUUACUUCAAUUUAUCUUAAUUUAUAAAUUGUGAAUUUAAAUUUAUUUAUUUUCUCUCAUUAUAUUCAGUUUUUCGGAUCAUAUUUGGCCCAGAACAAAAACUAGAACAAAAAAACAAAUAUAUAUGUUUUCCAAAAAUUAAAUUGUUAACUUUAAAAAAAUAUAUUUUUAGCUAUUUAUCAUCAUAGAGAAAAACAAAUAAGGUCACCUCGCCUUAUGCUUCAACACCUCAACCUAGAUUCUCAUCACCUGUAUUUAUCAUCGAUUCAGAUUUUUAUUUUUACUAUAUUCUAGAUCUACCUAUAAAUAUAUCUUCAAACUUCCUCUGGUUAAGUUCAUUCAUAGAUAGGUGAGUAAACUUGAGCUUCAGCUUCAACAAACACCUUAGUUUGCAAUUCUCUCAUACUAAAAAUAUGGAAGUUUACCAUGUAAUUAGAGAUUUGGUCUCAUUGCUUGUUGUUGGUUUAUUAAUGAUAUGGGGAUGGAGAGCUUUAAACUGGGUAUGGUUGGCCCCAAAGAGGCUCGAAAGGUGCUUGAGACAACAGGGUUUUGCAGGGAAUCCUUACAGGUUCCUUUCUGGUGACAUAAAAGAGCUCUUAACUAUGAGCAGACAAACAAGAGCCAAACCUAUGCCUCUUAGUGAUGAUAUUGGGCCUUAUGUUGCUCCUUUUCUUCAUCAAACUGUCAACCAGUAUGGUAUGUUUAAUUAUUAUUUAAUCUUCAAUUUAUGAUAAUUCUUUGUUAUUUAUGAAUGGAAUUUAUUGGGAGGAAAUGCAGGAAAGAAUUCAUUUACGUGGAUUGGUCCAAGACAAAGGGUGAACAUUAUGGACCCUGAAAAAAUAAGAGAAAUAUUUACCAAAUUUAAUGACUUCCAGAAGGUGCGUACCAAUCCACUGCUUACUUUGCUUGUAAGCGGCCUUGUUAACCUCGAAGGAGACCGAUGGAGCAAACAUAGAAAAAUCAUAAACCCUUCAUUUCAUCAAGAUAAGUUGAAGGUAUAGAAUAGUGAUGGGUACUUAAGACUUAAUUUACAGAAAACAUGAUACUUAAAUCUAUGCUUUUCUGAUUUAGAAAUGAUUGGAUGCAGAAUAUGUUGCCAGCAUUUUAUCAAAGUUGUUGUGACAUGUUAAGCAAAUGGGAGAAGAUGGUGUGUACAGAAGGAUACAGUGAGUUAGAUGUGUGGCCUUAUCUUGUAGAUUUGACAAGAGAUGUGAUUUCCCGAUCUGCUUUUGGAAGCAGCUUCGAAGAAGGCAGACGAAUUUUCCAAUUACUAGAUGACCAACUCGUUCUCAGAAUCAAAUUACUACAAACUGUUUACAUUCCAGGAUGGAGGUAACCCUCAAUUUACUUGAAAAAGGUUGCAAAUGUUGGAAUUGGCUAAAUUCGUGUUUGUUUCCUUGAAGGUUUUUGCCCACAAAGACAAACAGGGAGGUGAAGAUGAAACACAAAGACAUAAAAGAGUCGCUCAGGGAAAUGAUAAAAAGAAGAGAGCAGGCAAUUAAAGCAGGGGAAGAGAGCAAUGAGGACUUGUUGGACAUACUUGUGGAAUCCAAUAUCAGAGAAAUGGAAGCAAAGAAAAAGGGGAUGAGCAUUGAGGAUGUGAUUGAGGAAUGCAAGCUGUUUUACUUUGCUGGCCAGGAGACCACUUCGGUCUUACUGGUGUGGACUAUGGUUUUAUUAGCAAGGUAUCCCGAUUGGCAAAGUAAAGCAAGAGAGGAGGUUUUGCAUGUUUUGGGUGACAGUAAACCUGAUGCUGAUGGCCUUAAUCGCCUCAAAGUUGUAAGUCCCUAGCAUGUCUUUUGAAGGUCCGAUCAAUAAGGUCGACAACUCAAAAAUUUGGUUUCUUUUUUCGCUAAUUCUACAGUUAACAAUGAUAUUGUACGAGGUUCUAAGGCUGUACCCAUCAGCGACUGAGCUAGGACGUUCCGUUCCAAAAGAAAUAAAACUGGGAAAUUUGUUGUUACCAGCAGGAACAGAAAUUUCGGUUCCGAUCCUGCUGAUCCACCAUGACAAAGAUCUUUGGGGCGAUGACGCACGGGAAUUUAAGCCAGAGCGGUUCGCGGAAGGGGUUUCCAAAGCAACAAAGAGUCAAGUCACGUUUCUGCCAUUCGGAUGGGGUCCUAGGAUCUGCAUUGCCCAGAAUUUUGCUAUGAUGGAAGCCAAAAUGGCGGUGGCCAUGAUUCUCCAACGCUUCUGGUUCGAGCUUUCCCCUUCCUAUGCUCACUCUCCUUGCAGCAUGGUAACGCUUCGUCCACAGCAUGGUGCACAGAUUAUUUUACAUAAACUUGGCUCUAAUUGAGUAGUUAUGUAAACAAAUCAUUGUGAAAAUAGUGUUUUAACGUAUCGUAAAAACUCCGGUGUCUGUAAUGGAACAAUUCCGAUGCAUGGAUAGUAAAUUUUGUGAUGUUUGGUGAAGUCCGAAAUAAUAUGCAGAACUUGAGUGUCCUGAAUGGAUGUAGUAUUUAAUGGUGGACAUAGUUGAGGGACUAAUGUGGGAAUUAUCAAACAAAGAAUUGCAUAUGGUACAAAGACUUGUAUGGAAAUUAGAGCAGGGGGAGUAGAAAAUGACUACUUCUACGGGCAUCAAUUGAGAAAGAUUUCCGGUGCAAAUGUUAGCAAAUUUUUGAGCUUCAGCCUUAAACAUUAGCAAGAUUGCAAUACCGGGAUUAUCUAGUGUUGGUUGCCCACUCAAUUGAGGGUUAAGUUGAAGGAUUUGUUGAAGCAAGCUAAGCUAUCAAUCAAGGUUGGAGCAAGCUUAGGAGGUCACAAUACAUCAUUAUUGCAUAAUUAUUUAAAUGAAAUUUAAUAUUUAAAUAAAAAAUAUUAAUAUAGUACCAACAAUAUUCCAUUUCUUUUAACCAAGUGUUUCUAGAUUAUGAAAUUCAUUAAUGAUUUGUAAAAUAUAUUGAUGCGAUCCCGGCCGCAUCAUGUUUCGAUACAACUCGAUGACCUCAGAAUUGACCUAAACUCUAGGGGCCCAAGUGCAAAAUGAAGCUUAAUUUCAGCUCAAUGAGCUCAAUUCUAGCUUCUUCAAGCUCGUCUAGUUCAACCCAAGCUCAUUUAGCUUAACUUCAACCCAUUUUUAAUUUGUUGGAAUAAGUAUUUAGUUGCUGGAAUAAAUUACUCAUCUUAGUUAAUUGAGUUCAUCUUAGUUAAUUAAGUUGUUGGAAUAUAUUACUCAUCUUAGUUAAUUUAGUUGCUAGAAUAAUUUAUUGUUGCAUGUGUUUUUAAGUUUAUUAAAUUCAGUUAAGUGUUAAAUGUGUUUAUUUACAGUUUAUUAACUAAGCUUGUUAAGUCUAAUAUGUGUUAAAAUGUGUUUAAUGUGUUUGUUUGUAGGUGACUAAUCAGUUGGAAACAAUUAUGUACAAGGGCUGUUACAAAGUGUUAAAUGCGACUAUUCAUUUGGAAUCGGUUACAUACAAGGGGCUAUUACAUUAUUUAAAGGAGAGCAUUAUACAUCAUUUAAAGGAGAAUUUAAAGCUUUUCUUAAAACUUUUUGGCUGCUCAAGAAUGAAAUCUAAGCAUUCAAGCUUAUUAAAUCAACUGAAUUAGAACAUUAAAUGAUCUUAUUGAUAGUUGCUGUUAUUUAGGCCUAGAAUUUCAAGAGUUUGUGCUUAGUGACUAAGUUAAUUUCAGCUCAUUAUUAGCUCAUUAAGCUGAACAAAAGUGACUAUUCGGCUAGGCCUCAUCUAGCACUAUAAAUACUUGUAAUCAGCUCAUUGUAAAAAAAACUUUUUGCUGAAUUUAUGCUAAAUUUGAAACUUGUGAGAUUUCCAAUUCUCGUUGUUCUUUCGAGAUUGAAUUGACUUAUCAAGUUUUCUUGUGGCAUCAUUCUUUCUUUUGUUUAAACCGAAUCUUAUCACCUUUUGGUGUGGCGUUCAUAUACAUUUGGUUCCUAUCACUUUUGAUAGUGGGUAAAGGUCAUUGCUGCUUUCUUUAAAUCGUAAAUCACCUAAGAGCCAUUUUGAGACUCGGGUCAACAAUCUAAUAUUGUUGGUUCAUUCUCGGUCUUAGCCAAAUUAUCCAUUAUUUACUUAACCAUUUUACCUACUACCAUUGUUUGAAGCCAUUUAUCCUAUUUUGUUUCAUUUAACUGAAACGAACUUAUCCUUACUCAAUUCACGAUCGGGUAAUCUAAACGACUCGAAUCAUUCCGAAACGAGUUCGUAUCAUAUAUCCUCCAUUCUUAUUGAGUGGGUGUAAUGAAAAUUCUCCUAUUUCUAAUUGUGAUAAAGUAGAAACUCUCUUUAGAAAAAAGGCAGCAACAUUUUUCAAUUAUUAAUUGAACACCUUGGUGAAUUUUCGUUUUUUUUCUUUUUUUCUUUUUACGGUUCAAUUUUCGUUUGGGUAUUGUAAUUUCAGGUUAAUCAUUGUUUGGUUGAUAUUCUCAACUUCAAUCUUUAAUUUACUUGAGAUUAUUAGUUGAUUGUUUUUGUUGGAAUUAUAUGAUUUUAUUGUGUAUUUAUGUUUUAAUCUUUUAGAAAGAAGUUUUUAUGUGGACUUUCAAGCUUCGUAAUUUUUAUUAUUUGCUUUACGUAAAAAAAACUCGUGGGAUACAAAAAUUCACAAAAAAACUUGCUAUAAGAUUACAACACAAAACCAUAAGCUUAUAACUCAACAAAAGCUAUCAAUAAAUAAUCUCAAGCUAGCUAAAGAGAAAUGUAAAGAAUAUCACCCAAACAGUAACUUGCUUUAAAAGUUAAAAAUCCAAAGUUAUAGUACCCCAAACGAAAAUCGAAUAUUAAACAUUAAAGAUCUUCGAUUCUACUAGCUAUUGUAAAAAAAAAAAAUUCCAACGGACACCAAAUAGACCUUUGAUCGAAGAAAAUACGAAAACUAGUCUGGUUAAAACUACAUGCCAAACUCACUUUUUCUCAUUUCUUUAACUUGCGGUGAAAUUCAAAACUAAGGUUAUAUUUUUUUCACUGAAAUUAACUUUAAAAAAAUUAUCUCUAAAAAAUGAUUGAUUUUUCAAAAAAGAUUGAUAUUUUUUUAUGUUUGGAUGAUUUUUUGUAAAAUAUAUUUCGUUGUUUGACAAAUUUUUUUGAAAUAAUUUUCUUAGAGUUGUUUUUAGUAAAACAAACAUAAGAUAGAUAUAUUUGUUACAAAAGAUUAUAGUAACAUUUUCUUUUGACAAUUUAAAUUUAUUUUAUAACCAGAUGAUAUUUUAUAAUAAUUAAUAUUAUAUAUAAACUUAAUAAUAAACAAUAUCUAAUUAAAACUUAAUUUAUAUUAAAUAUAUUAAUAAAGCUAAGUAUAAUUUAAACAAAUACUCAUGUUUUAUAUCAUUAAAAUAUUAAUAUAAAUAUUUUUCAAUAAUAUAUUAAGAAUAUUAUUUAAAAUUUAAAAUUAUUAUUUUUAAAAUUAAUUAUUAAAAUAAAAAUGUAAUAUUAAAUAAUUUAUCAAAAUGAUAAGUCAUAUUAAUAAUUUAUUAGAUUAUUAAAUAUAAAUAAUUAAAUAUGUAUAUUUAAUAAUAUUGAACAUUAUAAUAUUUUUUAUUAAUAUUUUAAUAUUAUUAAUAUAAUAAUAUUGGACUUGAUUCAAGUUAAUUUUUAUAUAAAAAAAUAAAAUUACAUGUAAAUGAACUCAUUUUCAAAAAAAUAACUUGUACUUUUAAAAAAGGUAAACUAAUUUACAGAAAAAUAAACUUAUUUUCUGUUAAUCUAUAAUUUUUUUUGUUAAUCAAAUUAUUUUCAUGAAAUAAAUAUAAAAAAAUACAAAAAAAAAACAGUUUCCAUAUUAACACUCAAUACUAAACUGUCAUUUUCCUCAGCUUCCCUAAUUUGUAUGUAGCAGUGAACGUUUGAUCGAAUCGAGUAAAAAAAAUUGAGUUGACGAGUCAUAUUUUAUCAUCUUAACUUGAUUUGAGAUUUUUUUAAAUCAAGUCAAAGACUAAGAGCACAUAAAUUUGAAACCUUAUCUAUUUGAAUUUGUUUUUAAAAAAAAAGAAAAAAAAUACUUUAGCAUGAUAAACUUGAAUUGUGAAUUAACUUAUUUAGAUCCCAAAAUUAUUAUUUUAUAAUUUUUUUAAAAAAUAUAAAUUUUAAAAUUUUUAUAAAUAUUUUGAAUUGAAUUUUUGUUGAGAGAGAGACCGAUCUAUCAUUUUCAAAAUUAAAAAAAAGACCAAACUAUAUUUACAGCAAUUUAUUAUUCGAAUUAUUUAAAUUAUAUAAUUUAACUCAAUUUAAAAUCGAAACUCGAAUAACUAAAUUUAAUUAACCCGAAAUUUAUUUUUUAAAUUUUUUAAAUCAAAUCGAAUUUUGUUCGCCCUACAUCAAUAACUUUGUAUCCAUAUCAAGCUUUUUUUUAAGCUAUAUAUAUUAUUUUAGAGAAUACAUGGUCACCACGGUUCAAUGAUUGAACACCACUCCACUCUCCACUUUUUUUUGUGGUUUAUCCUCUUAAUUUUUUGAGGAUAUCAUUUACUAAAUAAUUUAUUUUUUACAUAAAUUUUAAUAUAUAUUAAUAAUAAAUUAAUUCAAUUGGUAAUAUUUAACUAUUCUCAUGACUCAUUUUUAAUAAAGAAAAUAAUAAAAUUCAAUUAUGAUAAGGAGGUUUUAUUUUUAACAAAAAUUAUUUUUUAUAUUUCUAAGUUUAAAUCUAAAUUUAUACAAGUUAUUCUUUAUUUUAUAUCUAAUUAUUGUAAAACAUAAAUAAUAAUUUUUUUUUUUCCUUUUCAUGCUACCAAACAAUCCAUUAAUCAUUAAUUAUAUUAAAAUCUUUGACUUAUUAAUAUUUAUGGACAGUAAAUCGGAUGCUAAAGAAAUCUUAGUCAAACCAAAAAGAAAGAAGAGAUAGAGGUGGGCAAAGCUGAGGUUCAGCUUUCAUAAACACCUUCAUUUGAAGACACAGUUCUCAUACUCAAACCAAAAGACAUGGAAGUUUUCCUUGUAAUUAGAGAUCUGGUUUCACUGCUUGUUGUUGGGUUAUUAAUGAUAUGGGGAUGGAGGGCUUUAAACUGGGUAUGGUUGACCCCAAAGAGACUCGAAAGGUGCUUGAAACAACAGGGUUUUGCAGGAAAUCCUUAUAGGUUCCUUUCUGGAGACAUCAAAGAGAGCUUCACUAUGAGCAGACAAACAAGAGCCAAACCUAUGCCUGUUAGUGAUGAUAUUGAGGCUUAUGUUGUUCCUUUUCUUCAUCGAACUAUCAACAAUCAUGGUAUGUUCUACAUUAAUCUGCAAUUUCAUCGUGAUAUUCAGAUUUCUUUUUUUAUGUCUGAAGUUUAUUAGGGGAUAUGCAGGAAAUAAUUCAUUUAUGUGGUUUGGUCCAAGACCAAGGGUGACAAUUAUGGACCCUGAAAAAAUAAGAGAAAUAUUUACCAAAUUCAAUGACUUCCAGAAGCCUCAUUCCAAUCCACUGGUUAGAUUCCUUGUAGGUGGCCUUUCCAACCUCGAGGGAGACCAAUGGAGUAAGCAUAGAAAAAUUUUAAACCCUGCAUUUCAUCAAGAUAAGUUGAAGGUAUGUUGUAUUUGCACUUUUUUUCCUCUUUCAAUUCAAUCAUUUUGACUUACCUUAAUCAAUACCUUUAGGAGACUAAUUUUCAUUUCUAAUAUAUUUAUGUACUUCUGGUAUGGAAAUAAUUGCAGAACAUGUUGCCAGCAUUUUAUCAAAGUUGUAAUGAGAUGAUAAGCAAAUGGGAGGAGAUGGUGUCUAAAGAAGGGUACAGUGAGUUAGAUGUGUGGCCUUAUAUCGUAAAUAUGACAAGAGAUGUGAUUUCCCGAGCUGCGUUUGGGAGCAGCUACGAAGAAGGAAGAGGAAUUUUCCAACUAUUAGAGGACCUAACCUCUCUCACAAUCAAAGUUUUUCAAUCUGUUUACAUUCCAGGAUGGAGGUAAACCUGAACUUUAUCUUCGAGUUUUAAGGAAAAUGUUACAGAUGUUGAAAUUCGAAUCUCGGGUGUUUGUUUUCUUGAAGGUUUUUACCCACAAAGACUAACAGGGAGUUGAAGAUGAAACACAAAGACAUAAAAGAAUCGCUUAGGGAAAUGAUAAAGAGAAGAGAGAAGGCAAUUAAAGCAGGGGAAGAGAGCAAUGAGGACUUGUUGGACAUACUUGUGGAAUCCAAUAUCAGAGAAAUGGAAGCAAAGCAUAAGGGGAUGAGCAUUGAGGAUGUGAUUGAGGAAUGCAAGCUGUUUUACUUUGCUGGCCAAGAGACCACUUCGGUCUUACUGGUGUGGACUAUGGUUUUACUAGCAAGAUAUCCUGAUUGGCAGACUAAAGCAAGGGACGAGGUCUUGCAUG
rnacentral:lncRNA from 1 species